rnacentral:lncRNA from 1 species
ACAUUAAAUAAAGUAUGAAUAAUUAUAAUUAAUCAAAACAUACAAAAUAAAAUAUAAAAUUACAAAACUUACAUAAUUGAUACAAAUAAAAAGUUCAUAACUUUGUUUUUUGAAAAAUAUUACAUUUAUUUUGAUGUUAAUAACAAAAUAACACAUAAUAUUUAAAAACAAAAAAACAAAAAUAAAGGAGAAAUGAGGUCCAAAUUAAAAAGGAUGUAUAUGUAUAAUUUAUAUGCGAUAAAUAAUAUAUAGGAUUGUAUUUUUAUUUUUUUUAAAUGUUAAAAUAAAGAUAAUAUAAAGGUAAUUUGAUUGUUAUUUUAAAAUAAUGGUAGUUUAAUAUUUCAAGAAAACUCGUAACGGAAAAUAAAAAAUAGGGGAGACAACUAACCAUAGUUGUGUUUCAUGAACAUGUAUCUCAAAUGGGGUUAUUGGGAACCUAGGUCACAUUAAGUUAGUGGGAGCCAUUUUUUGUAUUGUAAUAUUAUGCUAUUAUUGUAUAUUUUCUUUAAAUCAAACAAUGAAGCAUAUAUGAUUGCUUUUUUAUUAUUUGUUUUGAUGAAAUUAUAUAGGACAUUGAUUUAUGAUUAUGUAUAUGUUGUGAUGUUUGAUUAUGUAGUUCAAGUGGGAGAAUUGUUGGAAUUUUUAUAUGUUGACUUUCAUAUGCCAUAAAUCAAUAUUAUUUAAUUUUUGUAUCGUGGUCCAUAAUGGGACUGGACACAUAUUAUUACUUGAUUUUUUAUGGACUCACCCUAAUUCACUUGACUGUUUAUUAAGUCAAGUGGUCUAAAUAAUGUGUGUAAUAUGAGAUAUAUAUAUAUAUAUAUAUAUAUAUAUAAGUGCAAAGAAGACUUCUUCUUCUUGGAAUGGAAAAAAGAGAUGCACUGUACGCUCAUCUUGAGAGCACACAUGGACUGAAUCUUAGGUGUAGAAAGGAAAGAGCUCAUUGAAUAUGGAUUUUCAUAUCAUCAUGAACCGAGCAUAUUCUUGAACACCAGUGGAGCACAAAAAUGACUUUCCAUAACAUUAAUCAAGACAAGCAUUUCAUUUAUUACCAUUUAAUGCAUAUUUUAAUGUCCACAUCUUUUCGUAUCGUUUAAAAUUUCAUCAACAAUAUGAUAUGCCAUCGGGGAAAUUGUUGUUUUCAUGGACUUCAACAAUAACCUGCGCCUUCUUGUCCGCUUCCCUGCUUAGCAGGUACCGUGACUUGAGAUUAGGACACCACCCAUUGAAACAGCUCUUGGUUCUUUUCUUUUCAUCUUCCAUGAAUAUCUUUGCCUCCCCUGUCUUCUUGUCUGCCCGAGUCAGCCAGUCUUGAACAAUAGGUCUGAUUUCAUCCCCUCUUCUAAUAGCUUCAUCAACAGUAAUCUGAAGGUCAUCCUUUGCAAGCCCCAACUCCUGAACCUUCUUGUUGAGAUCAUCCAUGUGGCGGCGGUAGCAAAACAGAUAACUAAGCUGGCGUCGAAUUGGAGCAACCAAGUACUCUGAAACUUUUGCAGCAACGGCAAUAAUGAUCUCUGUCAUUUUGUCUCAGUUGGAUUUAUUUUUUUAUUUUUUGGUGUGUGUGUGGUUUUGUUGGGAAAACAGAAGGGAAAUGAUGAAAAAAACAGAAACAAAUGAAAGCAGGAGCAAAAGGAAACUAAAAUAAGAGAGUGGAAGAAAUGGAAGGAGCAGAGUAUUUGUUCCAAGCAGAGAGACGGUCACCAACAAAAUGAAAAGCAGAAUCAGUAGCGAAUAUGAGUGAAGGAAGAAAAAAUGUGUGACAAAACGAGAACAAAGGAAGUUGGUGUUUUGCAAGCAGAUCCUGAUGUGAGGCCGAAUGUGAAGACAGGUCAUUUGGUUAUGUUGGAAAACAGAUGGGAACUGAGAAAAUAAGAGGAAAUUAAGAAGAGGGUGGAGGAAAUGAAAGGAGCAGAGUUUGGGUUCCAAACAGAGAGAGGGUGAAGGAAUCAGAGGUGAAUGAGAGCCAAGUUAGGAAUGGAUGAUAAAAUGGGAAAGCCAAAAGCAACAGCAACAAUGACACCAAACAAAGAAGAGAGUGGUAUUGCAAUUAGGUAUGGGAAGGAGCAGACUACUUUUUAACUUGGGGUGUUAUAAUUGAGAAAGCACUGCCGCAACAAUAACCAAUGGAUUAUUCCUCACAUGGAUUACUUUUAUCAUCGUGGAAAGUGGAAAACAGGCUUUAAUGGCUUAUAAUACGAGGCUGCUGUGGCUGCCACUUCCUUUUCCAGAAUCGUAUCUCUAUGGACCAUUCCAUCGUCUGCCACUAUUCACACGCCUUCGGCUACUAAUAAUUUUACUAUACGUGCUUUAUACAUACAAGUCACCCUUGACUUAUUCUUAGUUACCAAACCAACAAUAUAUGAGUCCCACCUAUAAGGAUAAAAAAUAAAAAAUGAUUAUAUUGUUCUUAUUUUUUAUUUAAUUAACAAACAUGUUUUACUUUUGAUUUUUUAAAAUAAAAAUAAAAUUAUAAGCACCAAAUAUAUUUAAUAUUUACAGAAACUAAAGAUAUAAUUGACAAAACCUUUAUAGUUUUUGUUUUGAAAAAUUAUAGAAAUAAAAGUGCAUUCAAACUAUACCCUGUCUAUUAAUUCUAUUUAAUUUUAUUAGUUUGUAUCCAAUUUAUUGAAAAAAAAAAUUUGUCACAUAUAAUAUAGUUAAGUGGUUAAGUUACCUUAUUUCUGUAGAAGGAGCUAUAAACGUGAAUAUUAAUUUGCCACACAAAAUGGCCGGACUUUUCUCAAUAGUACGGUAAUUUAAAAAAGUUAUGCUUAAAUUAUUAUAGUAGAAGAAGUUAUUACAAAUAUAUGGUAGUUUUUGUCACAUAAGAGAGAGGAGAGAGGAGAGAGGAGAUAGGAAAGAGGAGAGAGGAUGAACGGAUAAAUUUUUUUAAAAAAGGGAACUCGUCUCUUCAAGAGACGAGUUCCAUAAAAAAAAAUAUAUAUAUAUUUUUUUUAAAAAAAAUCCCCAUUUACUCAAGGGAACUCAUCUCUUCAAGAGACGAGUUCCAUGAAAAAAAAUAUAUAUUUUUUAUAAUAUAUAUAUUAAAAAAAAUUCCAAAUUAUAAAAAAAAAAAAAAAAAAAAAAAAAAAAAAAACAGUUGCUCAAGGGAACUCGUCUCUUGAAGAGACGAGUUCCCAUGGAAAAAAAAAUAUUUUUUUUUUUUAAAUUCCCAAUAUUUAAAAAAAAAAAUUCCUCAAGGGAACUCGUCUCUUCAAGAGACGAGUUCCCAUGGAAUUCCCANNNNNNNNNNNNNNNNNNNNNNNNNNNNNNNNNNNNNNNNNNNNNNNNNNNNNNNNNNNNNNNNNNNNNNNNNNNNNNNNNNNNNNNNNNNNNNNNNNNNUUAAAAAAAAAAAAAAAAAAUUCCUCAAAAAAAACAAUUCCUCAAGGAAACUCGUUUCUUCAAGAGAGGAGUUCCUUUAAAAAUAUAUAUAUAUAUAUAUAUAUAUAUAUAUAUAUAUAUAUAUAUAUAUAUAUAUAUAUAUAUAUAUAUAUAUUUUAAAAUUCCCAAAUUUAAAAAAAAAAAAAAAAAAAAACAAUUCCUCAAUGGAACUCGUCUCUCUUCCCAUGAAAAAAAAAUAUUUUUUUUUAAAUUCCCAAAUUAUUAAAAAAAAAAAAUAUUGGAACUCGUCUCUUCAAGAGACGUUCCAUGAAAUAUAUAUAUAUAUAUAUAUAUUAAAAAAAUUCCCAAAAAACAACUCCUCAAGGGAACUCGUUUCUUCAAGAGACGAGUUCCCAUGGAAGAAUUUUUUUUUUUAAAUAUAUUUUUUAUUUAAAAAAAAAAUCCCAAAUUUAAAAAAAGAAAAAAAGAAAAAAGCAAUUCCUCAAGGGAACUCGUCAAUUUCCUCAAGGGAACUCGUCUCUUCAAGAAUCGAGUUCCCAUGGAAAAAAAAAUAUAUUUUUUUUUAAAAUAUAUAUAUAUAUAUAUAUAUAUAUAUAUAUAUAUAUAUAUAUUUUUUUUUUUUUAAAUUCCCAAAAAAAUAAUAAUAAUAAUAAUAAAGGAAUUUCCUCAAGGGAACUCGUCUCUUGAAGAGACGAGUUCUCAUGGAAAAAAAAUAUAUUUUUUUAAAAAAAUUCCCAAAUUAAAAGAAUUUCCUCAAGGGAACUCGUCUCUUCAAGAGACGAGUUCCUAUGGAAAAAAAAAUAUAUUUUAAAAAAAAUUCCCAAAUUUUUUUAAAAAAAAAAAAAUUUCCACAAGGGAACUUCAAGUAGUUCCUUGAGGAAAUUCUUUUUUUUUUUUUUUUUCUUUUUUAAAAUUUGGGAAUUUUUGUUUUAAAAAAAUUUUUUUUUUUAAAAAAAUAUUUUUUUUUCCCAUGUGAACUCGUCUCCUCAAGAGACGAGUUCCUUGAGGAAAUUCUUUUUUUUUUUUUUUUUUUUUUUUUAAUUUAGGAAUUUUUUUAAAAAUAUAUAUAUAUUUAAAAAAUAUAUAUAUAUUUUUUUCCAUGGGAAGAGACGAGUUCCCUUAGGAAAUUCCUUUAUUUUUUUAUUUUAUUUUAUUUUAUUAAAAUUUAGGAAUUUUUGUUUUAAAAAAAAAAAAAUUUCCCAUGUGAACUUGUCUCCUCAAGAGACGAGUUCCUUGAGGAAAUUCUUUUUUUUUUUUUUUUUUUUAAUUUAGGAAUUUUUUUCAAAAAAAUAUAUAUAUUUUUUUUCCAUGGGAACUCGUCUCUUGAAGAGACGAGUUCCCUUAGGAAAUUCCUUUAUUUUUUUUUUAUUUGGGAAAUUUUUUUAAAAAAAUAUAUAUAUUUUUAAAAAAAUAUAUAAUUUUUUUCCCAUGUGAACUCGUCUCUUCAAGAGACGAGUUCCUUGAGGAAAUUCUUUUUUUUUUUUUUUUUUUUUAAUUUUGGGAAUUUUUUUUUAAAUAUAUAUAUAUAUAUAUAUAUUUUCAUGGGAACUCGUCUCUUCAAUAGACGAGUUCCCUUUGAGGAAUUUUUUUUUUUAAUUUAGGAAUUUUUUUUAAAAUAAAAUAUAUAUUUGUAAAAAAAAAUAUUUCUUUUUCCAUGGGAACUCGUCUCUUGAAGAGACGAGUUCCCUUUGAGGAAUUGUUUUUUUUUUUUUUUUUUAAUUUGGGAAUUUAAAAAAAAUAUAUAUAUAUUUUUUAAUGAGAACUUGUCUCUUGAAGAGACGAGUUCCCUUGAGGAAUUUUUUUUUUAAAAAAAUAAUUUGGGAAUUUUUUUAAAAAAAAUAUUUUUUUUUUCCAUGGGAACUCGUCUCUUCAAGAGACGAGUUCCCUUGAGCAACUGUUUUUUUUUUUUUUUUUUUUUUUUUUUUUUUUNNNNNNNNNNNNNNNNNNNNNNNNNNNNNNNNNNNNNNNNNNNNNNNNNNNNNNNNNNNNNNNNNNNNNNNNNNNNNNNNNNNNNNNNNNNNNNNNNNNNAAAAAAUAUAUAUUUUUUUUUCAUGGAAAGAGACGAGUUCCCUUGAGUAAAUGGGGAUUUUUUUAAAAAAAUAUAUAUAUAUAUUUUUUUAUGAAACUCGUUUCUUGAAGAGACGAGUUCCCUUUUUUAAAAAAAUUUAUCCGUUCAUCCUCUCUCCUCUUUCCAAGCUCCUCUCUCCUCUCUCCUAUGUGGCAAAAACUAUCAUAUAUUUGUAAUAACUUCUUCUACUACAAUAAUUUAAGCAUAACUUUUUAAAAUUAUUGAGAAAAGUCCCAAAAUGGCCCAACGAACAUGAUAUUAACUCAAUCCCAUUGUCCCUGUCAUAGCUUGGAUUACACGAAUCCCCUACUAUUAUUAUUAUUGUGGGACCCAUGUAUAUGCAGGGCGAUAUUCACGUCAAUCAGUGAAAACAGCUGUAGCAAUGAAGAAAGUAGAAAAAGAUGGAGACAUUUAUGAAACAUGAUGUGACCUGUGAAUGGAAGAUGGAUGUGGGUGUUUUUUCCCCAUUCAAAUGACCUGCAUGCGGCUCCCACAACCCAUUCAAUAUUCAGACGCCUUUAGCAACAAAAAUUAUUUCCUUCUUGUUGUCUUUAAUGACCACAAAAUUACUUAAGCAUAAUUCAUUAUACAUGUUUUAAAAAAUAUAUAUGAAUAAAUGUAUAAGCUUUCUUAUUUUUAUUUUAAAAAUAAAAAAUAAAAAUAAUAUUAUCAUUUAUAAAAUAUAAGAUAUGUUAAUACUCUGAGAGUCUAAAAUAUUGUGAGGUUAAAAUAUUUUGAGAGUUGGAUUCCUUAAGUGAGAUAUUAUCUAUUGUAAAACUCCUGUAUAUUAAUGGGUCCAAAUUUGGAGGUUUUGGACCUUUUGGCUAAUAAAAUUAUUAGCUUUUAACUUCUUAAAUGGGUACAAAUGUAAUCAUCUAUGAUUUAUUAUGCAGAUUUCAAAAAAUGUAUGUGAAUUAAUUGAAACAAGUUAUUUAAAUUUAUUAGAACCAAAAAGCUUAUCAAGGAGAAAAGAAAAAAUAGUGGAGAUUUUGCGUAUCCUAUUAUUGACGCCAAAAUAAAAUUGAGAGUAUUUUUAAAUAUUAACACUAUCAUACAUUCCGUUCCAUGAAUGUACACAUUAAUAGAAAAUAAUAAUUUUGACUUAUUAUUUAAUCAAACUUAUUUAUAGUAUUAUUGUUGAUACCUCGCGCUCCUGGUGUUCCACGUAGUUGCCAAAUGGAUGGACACGCGAUCUCAACCUAUAAAGGUUCUUGAUUCAGUCGUUAUACUUGCAAAAGACAUCCGGACAGGGUGUCCGGAUGCACCCUCCGAUGGUUUUGUUAGUCAUGGUUAAGAGAGGGAGAUAUAAAUCAGUUGGCCUUUUUCUAGGUAUCAGGUGAUUACCUUCUUCUUCGUGCGAAGGUUCAUAUAUAGUGCCAGGAGUAUUGUUCCUCUCAUUAAUGGUGAUGAGAUAUUUUAUGUUUUGUCAUGAUGACAUUCGGAGGCAGCAUGGUCAUCGCCACCCUACUGGCGGCUGUCAGAAACCGUGGUAGGUGAUGCUGCUGUCAAAGAUUGUGAGAAGUGAUCAUGUAGAACAAUCGUGGGAAGUGACUUGUUGUCACCUCAACUUGUCUUUUCACUCUGCAGGUGAUGGGACGUGGGCCAUGGCUGGUUGUUGCGAUAGCGUGUGAGACUUGCUUUACUUUAGUCAAUGAUCCGGACAACCAUAUCCGGAUAGCCCAUGUUGGUAUCCGGAUGAAUUGUGGAGCGGACACAUUAAUGGAAGCCGUCCGGAUGCCUAUGUUUUGUAAGCGUCGUUUGCCCUCCCUUGAGGCAGUCCGGAUGGGAAAAGCGCGUCACGUGUGCUUUAUAGGAAGAUCCGGAUGAGGGUGACCCGGAUGACAACGUGUGCCAUGUGUCACUGUAAGAUGCGUGCCAUGUGCCACGACAAGAUGCGUGCCACGUGCCACGUGCCACGGCAAGAUGCGUGCCACGUGCCACGGCAAGAUGCGUGCCACGUGUUCUUAGAGGGUGGGGUCCCUACAAUGCCCUCCUUUUUUAACUUGCCUAUUUUGCCUUAGAAAAAAAUGGGCGGGUUAAAAAAUAAUUGGUUUUGUGAAACCGAAGUCGACCUUUUGUCUGGUUGGGCCACAUGGCGAGUGGGGGUGCGGGAGCCAAGAAAGGCAUUUAUAAUGAGCCGCCGACUCUGGGUAUUCCCAGGCAGCAUGUCGUUUCAAUGAUGGCGUUGUUUGGACGUUUGGUUUUCCGAGGGGAUGUCCCCCUAUAAAUAGCAUAGUGUGCUUACUGUUGUUUUUUUCUAUUGCGUUUUUUCUGAGAUAGCCUUCUUCGUCAACCUUGUGCGUACCUUCGCUCCUUCUGAGUGAAAACCCUAGAAUUUUUUACGGUGAUUUGUUGCGCUUUGACGGUGCUUGCCUUGCAAUUUGCAACCCUCGCUUUUCUCUUACAUCCGGUACAUAUUCUUUGUGCCUUGUUUUUUCCUUUUCUGCGCUUUGGUGUUGUUGGUUUGUUUUGGGCGAGUGUUGUUUGUGACUGGGUGUUUUAAGGGUUUCAGUUGCCCCCCUGUGGUUUUUGUGGGUUUCUUGUUGGGGUAGAGUCAAAGAUUUGGGGAUGGGUACAUUGGUGGUGCGAGGUUUUCUGAGUGCUGGUAUUGUUUAGGGUUUGAGAGUUUUUGGAUUGCUGUGUUUGACUGUUGCACUUCUUGUAUGUAGGUUUCGGUUCAACCUCGGGCUAGAAAAUGUCUUCAAAGCAGAAAGCUACUUCAUCUUCCCGAGCCAGCGAUGUCCGUGAGAAAGCGACGGACAAACUAGAUGUGAAGGAGUUCCGGGACCGGUUCUGCAUCCCGAAUGGCGUGAUCGUGGAACUACUGAAUGGUGAGGAGGUGCCUGCUUCGACUGAGAAGUUUGAGAAAAAUACCAUUAUCCUCUCAAAGGAACAAUUCAAGGCGGGGCUCCGCUUCCCUCUGCCGGCGUUGUUCAAGGAGUUCCUGCAUUUUACCCAGAUUCCUCCCGCCUUCAUUCACCCCAACAUCGUCCGGGUGCUGAUGGGAUGCAGCAUUAUAAGCAUGUUGUACAACCUCGACCUCACGCUGCUGGAGGUGUUCUUUGUAUAUUCGCUGAAGAAGGUGAAAAAUGACAUCUUCAGCAUGUCCGCUCACCUGCCCUCCCUUCAAUUGGUGACGGAGCUGCCAGACUCGACGAAAGGAGGGGCGAGGGGACACGUGGCGGUCCGAGGUGGAUGGGCGGGGUUCUCAGGGCGUCCGGGGAGGCCCUUCUCUCCAAACUACUCUUUAGUGAUUCCGGGUAAGUUUGCUUUGCUACUGUUGUCCGGAUUUUACCUUGUUAUAUUCUUGUUGAUAUUUCCGGAUGGUAUUCUCAUUCUUUGUUGCUGUUUAAUGUAGGUCCGGAAAAAAGGGGCCACCUCGUGGACUGGGUGGAAAAGGCGUCUUUUGCUUGUCUCAGUAAGUUGUUUGAGAUAGACGCCAAGGAGAGGCACUACAAGAUGCUGCUCACUGCGCGGAACCUGAUGGCGGUCGUCCGGGAGUCCCAAGAGUAUGUUGUCAACAUUCUCCCCAGGAAAAUGCCCAAGGAGGUAGUGCCUGGGGAGCAUUAUACUGUGAAGGAUCUCCCGGUUUACCAGGAGUUUAAAGAGGCUGACGCUGAAAAACGCCGGGCACUCCUGGAUAAUCGGGAGAAGAAAAAGAACGAAGGAACCCUUCGUAAGGCUCCCAGACAGAAACGAGGCGCAGCCUCUCCUCCAAAUAAAACUCCAGCAAAGAAGAGAAAGCUGGUGAAGAAGAAUGGGAAGGGGGGGUGAAGGAGCCCACUCCUCCCAAGGAUUUUGCCCUUCGGCCAAUUACUCAUGAGGCGGAGGUAAUAAUAGAGGAGCCAGUGAACCCUGCUCCUCAUUCUAUCUCAAGCGGAUUCGGACACGUCGCGGGGCUGAACCACUCAAGUACCUCAUUGGCAGUGGUUGCCCGCCUGGCAAAUUUGGCUGAGGAAGCUGCGUCCAUCAACCAUCCGGACUCCUCUACUCCGGAUGUCGAUGCGGUUGAAACCGUUUGUGCGGCCCCGUUGGAGGAAGCAGGGGCAGAAAGCCAGAGUCAGCCCUCUGACGAUCCGGACCGUUUAGCUCUUGUUCUGGUGAAGGGGCCAUCUUCAAAGAGGCCUUGUUCGGCGCGCAAUCUGAGGUUCGGACUCCUCGGGCGGCUUCAAGAUCGUCAGCAAGAGAUCGAAGUUAGUUGCUCAUCCGCCCACGACGCUCAUCCGGAGGGGGGCGAAGUAGAGAUGGCAAUUGAGCCUCCAACCAUCCCGGUGAUGAUCCCGGAUGAGGCUGCGCCCGGGGAGACCCAUCCGGCCGUAAAUGUUGAGGCUCCGAAUCCGGAACAAGAGUUGCCUUCUGUCGCCUCAUCAAGUGGAGACCUUGUUGAUGAUGCUGCUUGCACUUCCGCUAGUCUUUUUAGUUACGCGGAGCUGGAAGACAAGCUGAAACAAAUUCCAUCCGACUCGAUUACUGUCAUGCCCUCAGCCAAAAUGUUCGAGAUGGUGGAAACGGUAUGCUUCUUGAUUUUUUUGUCAUUCUGAUGUGUUUUUGUGGUAUGGUUUAUAACUUUGCUUUUCUUGCUUGUGUGUUUGUAUGUAGCUGGUGAGUGGUCUUCGCGGCAUGGCUCGACAACACGAUUUAUUUGCUGACUCGCUGCAAACCAUUGAUUAUAUGAGGGCCUUCGUGUCUCAGCGCAAACAUAGCGAAGAUCAGCUGCGCCUGAGACUGGCGGAGGCCGAAGCCAGCUUAUCCACCACUCGGGGGGAGAAUGAGGCCCUCCGGGCAGAUUUGACUGACGCAAAGAGCCGGGAGGAAUCAAUGGUCACCCGCCUGUAUGAGGCAGAAGAUGAGAUAGCUCGACUGAGGGGGGAGGUGAGGCAACUCCGGACAGAGGCUUCUAUUGAAAAGAAGCAGAAAGAAGAUUUGCGGCUGCGCUUAACAGCGCAAAAAGAAGAGCUAGAACGGGAGUUUGCUGCAGAGAGGGAGGAACUUGAAGCGGACUACCAAAAACAAGUGGAUGAUACAUUCAUCUUCGGCUAUCGCUGCUGUAUGAAGAAGAAUGGCAUAAAGCGGGAUGUCCCUUCAAUUCCUCCGGGUGAAGAGAAGAAACUUUAAGGCUGCUCCCUGAUAGCUUUUGUCUUUUUGCAAUUUUUUUUUGCUGUAAUCUUCUUUUUGUACUUUCGUGGUCCGGAGACCUCUUUCAUUGAUAUAUAUCAAUAAAAUAUUUCUUUUUUCUUCCAUUUGUACUUGUCUCUCUUUUUCAUUGAUAGUAUUGUUUUAAAUUGGACACAUUCCAUGGUCUAAGUAAUGGAGUUCCGUCUAACUUUUGUAAAUGAUAGGCUCCACUUUCACUUGCCUUAGACACUAUAUAGGGUCCUUCCCAGUUAGCUUGGAAUUUCCCUGCACCCAUUUCAGCAGUGUUUUCAAAAACUCUUCUAAGGACUAGCGUACCAUUUUUUAAGCUUCUGGGCUUCACUUUGCGAUUGUAAUGGGUGGAUGCUCUUUGUUGAUAGUCUGCCAUCCGGAUGGCUGCGCUUUCCCUCACUUCAUCUGCCCAAUCCAAAUUUCUUCCUAAUUCAGCGUUUGCAUCCUCCUGCUUUGCUGCGUCCAUGGAGGAAAAUAUCGUGUAUCGAAGGGUUUCGACACGAUAUUUCAUGGAGAAAUAUCGAUCCGGCGAUAUUUUGGUAUUUCUCGCGAGAAAUCGGAUCGGUGAUUUGCGCGAUAAAUAGGAUAUUUCUCGCGAUAUAUCGUGUGGUCAACGCGGGUCAUACCCGCUACAGUGCCCGUCAACGCGCUACAAUGCUCCAUUUUCUUGCUGCUGAGAGGAUUUGAACCCCAAACCAAAAGGUUUGGGGUUCAUCCGCUUACCACCUGGGCUAAGUUGCCCUUUGAUACAUGAUAUGCAACAAUUAUAUAUAUAGUUAAAUUCAUUAUAUAAAGAAAAUAUAAGAAUAUUUUAAAUAGCAAAUUAAUUAUAAUUAUUUUAUAAUUAAAUGCAAAGUCUUUUAAUUAAUUACCAAAAAUAUAAAAAUUAUAUAAUUUUCUUCAUAAUGUUUUUAAUAUCAUUAAUAAUUAAUUAAAUAUUAAAAAAUUAUAUAUAUAUCAUUAUUUAUUUUAUAUUGUUUAAUUAAUAUGUUUGUAAUAUGGAUGAUUUAAUGUUAUUUUUACAUUCAAUUGUAAUUAAUUUUUAUAUUUUUAUUGAAUUAACUUAGGUUAAUUUGAUUAUUUAAUUAUAAAUUGAUAUGUUUAUUUUAGAUGAUUAUUUGUGAUUUAUUUUCACAUUUAGAAUUAAAUUAAACUAGUUAACUUAGCUAAAUUAUUUAAUUAAUUUAAUUAACAUGCUAAAUUAUUUAAUUAAUUUAAUUAACAUGCUAAAUUAUUUAAUUAAUUUAAUUAACAUGAAAUAGUAUAUUUUGAAUAUGAAAUAUGUUUAUUUAAUGAAUUUAAUGUUUACAAAUUAUUGAUAUUUAAUGAAAUGAAAUAUUUUAUGUGACUGAGAACAAUUACAAAAUUAAUAUUUCUUAUAGAUCGACAUGAUGUAAUUACAUCUAUUAUCGCAAAUUAUAUCAUAUAUAUAUAUAUAUAUAUAUAUAUAUCAAAUUUUUCAAUAAAACAACUUUAAAAUGUCAAUUAUACUUCUAAUUAUAUUAUUAUGAGGUUUUUCUUGCAUUUCCAUGAGUUUUUAACAAUUUUAAGUCUACAGAUAUUUUUUUCCAGAAUAUCCGCCGAUAUAUCCGUAAAAUCGAAGUACCGAUAUAUCCGUGAUUACCGAUAUUUUCUUCCAUGGCUGCGUCAGUUCGGACAGUAGGAAGACCUAUUUCAGUAGGAAUGACUGCCUCCAUUCCAUAUGCGAGGGCGAAAGGAGUGUUUUCUGUUGGUCGCCCGGGUAUGGUUCGGUAAGCCCAUAGGACGCCGGGUAGCUCCUCGACCCAUUUUCCUUUGGCUUGUUCAAGCCUUUUCUUUAAGGCAGUGAUUAGGGUUUUGUUUGUAGCUUCUGCUUGCCCAUUACUUUGAGGAUAUCGCGGCGUGGAGUAUGAAUUCUGGAUGUUUAGCUCCGAACAGAAAUUCCUGAAUGCAAUGCUAUCGAAUUGUGGACCAUUGUCAGCUAUGAUGGCUUGGGGGAUUCCAAAGCGGCAGACAAUAUUUUUCCAUACGAACUUGGUGACAUCCUUGUCUUUGAUGCUAGCAUAUGCUUCAGCUUCCACCCACUUACUGAAAUAAUCUGUGGCAACGAGCAAAAAUUUCUUUUGAGCAGGUGCAGCCGGGAGAGGUCCCACUAUGUCCAUGCCCCAUUGUGCGAAGGGUCAUGGGCAUGAUAUUGAUUUUAAGGGUGCCGACGGCAUAUGUGGAAUGGGAGCAUACUUUUGACAUUUAUCACAUCUUUUGACAUAUGCCGCCGCGUCUUUCUUCAUUGUUGGCCAAUAGUAUCCUUGCGAAUGAGCUCUAUGUGCUAGAGAUCGUCCUCCCGAAUGAUUUCCGCAUAUUCCCUCAUGCAACUCAGCUAACACAUACUGAGCCUCUUAAUGUCCUAGGCACCGGAGGUAAGGUCCUGUGAAGGAUCGCUUGUAUAGGUGCCCCCCAAUCAGGGUGAAACGGGCAGCUUGCACCCGAACUUUGUGUGUCUGUCUGAGAUCUCCGGGUAGAGUGCCUGUUCGGAGAUAUUCUGUGAUGUCAUACGUCCAUUCUUGAUUGUCUGCUUGGUUUGCUUCAAUAGUGUUGUAGGUGGAAAUUUCUGCGACAGAGGGGUUGAGUUGCACAUGUAUAGGCAAUAGAAUGGCUUCUUUGAUAGAGAGGGAGGCAGCUAUGCCGGCCAAGGCGUCAGCGCGCCUAUUGUCAGUUCGCUUGAUUUUUUCUACUGUCCAUUCGGUGAAUUGUUGCAAGGUGUUUCUUACUUUAGCUAAGUAUCGCGUCAUGCGUGCGUCCUUAGCCUCAUAUUCCUCCUAGACAUGCUUCACCACGAGUUGUGAGUCGUUGUAGAUCUGGAGUUUGGAGACGGAUAGAGCAAGGGCGAGGUCCAAUCCGGACAAGAUGGCCUCAUAUUUUGCUUCGUUGUUAGAGGCAGAGAAUCCCAGUCGGAUGGCUUGCUCCAAAUGCUCCCCCGUUGGGGACUGUAGUAGGAGCCCAACUCCAGAACCUGAUGAGCGUGAGGCUCCAACAACUCGCAGAGUCCACCAUUCUUGUUUACUUGAUUCGUGGCGUUGGCUGGGUCUUCGGGAAUAUUCUAGCACGAAGUCAGCCAUUACUUGGCCUUUCAUGGACAAUCUGGGUUGGAAUUCGAUUCCAAACUCGCUGAAUUCAAUGGCCCAUUGUAGCAUUCUCCCUGUUAAAUCUGGCUUAUGCAGAAUAUUGCGAAGGGGCUGGUCCGUUAGUACGAUCACUGGAUGAGCUUGGAAAUAAGGGCGGAGCUUCUGGGCAGCGCUUCUAAGGGCUAAGGCUGUUAGCUCCAUUUUUGAAUAUCUGGUUUCUAUGUCCGCUAAUGCCCUGCUGACGUAGUAGAUAGGUUUCUGCUCCUUGGGUGAGGGGCAGCGGAAUAGAACGGCGCUGGUUGCCCAUUCUGAUACCGCCAGAUACAUGUACAAUUUUUCCUUUGGGACGGGGCUACUCAAGAUGGGUGGUUGCGUAAGACAAUGCUUAAUCUUUUCGAAAGCGUUUUGGCAACUGUCUGUCCAUCCGUGUGCUCCGGCUUUUCGUAUUGCCAAGAAGAAGGGUCGUAAUUCAUCAGUGAAGCGGGCUAUGAAACGCCCUAAUGCAACGAGCUUGCCUGUGAGGCGUUGUAGCUCCUUCUUGUUCCUGGGAGGGGGUGUUUCCAUGACUGCCUUGACUUGAUCCAGGCUGACUUCUAUGCCCCUUUGGCUAACCAUAAAUCCCAGAAAUUUGCCAGCACUUACGCCGAAGGCGCAUUUAGAAGGAUUUAGCUUCAUGUCAUACUUUCGUAAGAGGUGAAAAACUUCUUGUAAGUGAAGGACAUGCUGCUCUCGGGUUUUGCUUUUAACCACGAUAUCAUCAAUAUAUACCUCUACCGUGUGGCCUAUCAGAGGUUUGAAGAUUUUAGUCAUCAAUCUUUGAUAAGUGGCGCCAGCAUUUUUGAGUCCGAAUGGCAUGACUUUGUAGCAAUAGAAGCCGUGUGGUGUUAUGAAUGCUGUCUUUUCUUCGUCAUCCGGGGACAUGGGGAUUUGAUGAUAUCCGGAGAAGGCAUCCAAGAAAGAGAGCAUCCCUUGCCCGGAAGUGGAAUCCACAAUUUGAUCUAUUCGUGGCAAGGGAAAACUGUCUUUUGGACAUGCAUUGUUGAGAUUGGUGUAAUCUACACAGACUCGCCAUUUUCCUUCUUUUUUGGGUACCACCACUACGUUUGCCAACCAAUCCGGAUAAGAUACUUCUCUGAUGAAUCCGGCUAUUAGCAAUUUGUCAAUCUCGUUUCGGAUGACUUUUUGUCUAUCCGGGUGGAAACGUCUAAUUUUCUGCCGGACGGGUCUGGCAGUUGAAAAUACGUUAAGCCUGUGAGAUGCAAUAGAAGGAUGAAUUCCCUUCAUAUCAGAAUGUGCCCAUGCGAAGAUGUCGUGAUUCUGUUUGAGAAUGUUUUGCAUGCUCUGAGUUUCUUCGGUUGUCAUGAGGGAACUGAUGUUCGUGAGGUGAGUGUUUUCCUCCAAAAUUUGGAUUGUUUGUAAGGGAUCUGCUUCUGGGGGAUCUUUGUCCGCCGGACCCAAUAAUUGUUAUUGGUCAUGUGUAAUGCUGGGUUUAGGGGGAGAUGCAUCCCCCUGGUUGGCCCCUGCUUCUCGUGCUAUUUGAUAGCAUUGGCGAGAGCGGCUAACUGGCUGCCAUACAGGUCAAUCUGCCCCUCGUUGGUGAGGAAACUCACCAUUUGAUGAUAUGUAGAGGGGAUGGCUUUCAUGUAGUGCAGCCAUGUGCGCCCCAAGAUGAUAUUGAAGGGUGAUAACUCUUGUACCACCGAGAAUUGUACGUUGAGAAUGACUGGGCCAGCUUGGACCGGUAGUACAAUGUCUCCCAAGGAUGUAGUUGAAGACCCGUUGAAUCCAGAUAGGAUUCGUCCAGGGUUUUCGAGGCCUGUGAGACUGUGUCCCAUGUGGCCAACGACUGAUGCUUGCACAAGAUCGGCCGAACUGCCUGGGUCAACCAAGAUACGCCGCACAUCGAAAUCCCCAAUUUCCAGGGACAAGAUGAGGGCGUCGCGAUGUGGUUGCAGUGUCCGAGUGGGAUCUACUGGUGGGAAAAUGAUUGUCCCAUCUAUGGGGCGAGGGCCCCCUCCAGUUAGCCCAGGCCGGAUGGAAUUGAUGCGUUCGCGUAUUGAUGCGGCCCGCAACAAUUUUUGCCUCUUUCGCCUGAAGUCGUACUCCUCGUCAGAUGGACCUCCGUUAAUAUAGUUUAUAAAGGCCUUGGGGGCAGCUGGGGCCCUAGGGGCCCCGGGGUUGUGAUGUUGGGAUGCGUCCCUUCCUCCAUUAUCUGAUUGGAGGUAUUGCUUCAAAUGCUCUGCUUUUAUGAGCCUCUCGAUCAGAUACUGGAAAGCUCGGCAUGUCUCUGUUGUAUGGCCAUGAUCCUUGUGGAAGACACAUCUCCUACUACGAUCCCUUGUGGAUGGGUCCGUUCCAAUGGGUCUAGGCCACUUGAUGUCGGACAAGCCCUGGAUCAUUGGGAGAAGUUUCUCAUAUGAUAUAGAAAGAGGUGUGAGAGGCGGCAUUUCCGGGCGACUUGGCCCUUCCUGCCUUCGGUCAGACGGCUUUGGCCGAUCCGGAGGUUUAGUAUUUCUCUUCGCAUUACUUCUAGAUGGUCGUCUGACAACCAAAACUUGCUGGGUGGCUGCACGUACGUCAUCUUCGAGCAUUGAAUAUUUGUUGGCUCGUCUGAAUAAGUCAUCCGUCGUUGUAGGAGGUUUUUUAGCCAGUGAUUAGAAAAAUGGAGUGCCUGGACAGAUGCUUCGUUUGAAGAUCUAUAGGACAGCAUCCAUACUGCAAGCCUCUACUUGAAAUACGGCUUGGCCAAACCGCUUCACAAAUUCUCUCAAGGAUUCGUUAUCUUGCAUUUUUAUGUUCUGCAAGGUGUUGAUAUUUUGCUUGUGUCGUGCGGAGCACAAGUAUUGUCCCACGAAAGCUUCGGACAGGUCCCUAAAAUUGCCAACAGAGUUGGGAGGUAGGCGAUGAAACCAUGAGAGGGUCUGUCCUUGUAAGCUGGCGGGAAAUACUUUGCAUAGCAGUGCAUCGUUGCCAAUAUCGAGCGUCAUAAGCUAUCGAUAAUGCAUGAUAUGAUCGAAGGGAUCGUUGGUUCCAUCGUAUGUGGAGAAUUUUGGUAUGAGGAAUCCCCUUGGGGGCUCGUAAUGGAUGAUAUGAGAGCAGAAGGGCGUGGAGAGCAUGUCAUCCAGCCUUCUGCUGAUGGAGCCAAUGGGUGGCUCAUUUGGAAGGUUUCUCCCAGUUGGUUGUUCCGCUGGGUGCGAAUGAACGUUCCGCAUCACGGGGUGACUACGGGGUCACGAUACGGGUGAACGUUUUGCACCAUGGGGGUGGCCAUGGGGUCAGGGCGUGGUGCCCAGGUUGUGGCCAUUGGUGGCCUUGAUCUUCCAGGCUCUUGUGGGCCUAGUCUUGCGCGCAUCGAAUUUGACAACUGAGAUUUUUUAUCACGUUGUCUUUUCGCUGAAAAGUGAGUAGAGUCUGAGCUUUCCUCACGGGGAGCUCGAGGCAUAGGCGUGCGUGGCUCAUGAGGUCUUACGUUGCAUGCUCCUGGGAUAGCUCCUGUUGUCCCAGGAUAUAUUGAUUCCGGUUCUUGUUGAGGCCUUGAGUUUGCUACUUGGCCCCUCGAACGUUGUCGUCGAGGAGGCCCUGAUGUUGAAGUCUGGAUGCGUAAUACAACGUUUUCUUCUCUCAAUCUUUCUGUCUCCUGGAGGAGAGCUUUCAGUUGUUGCUCGCUUGCCAACUGUCUCCUUUCGAUGGCUUGACGCCAUUCAAAAUUAUCUUCCACUCCUUUACCAGAUGAUCGGCUUCGGAAAGGUGUGACCAUCUUUUUUAGUGACUGAACCAAAGUAAAAAAUUUCCCACAGACGGCGCCAAUGUUGAUACCUCGCGCUCCUGGUGUUCCACGUAGUUGCCAAAUGGAUGGACACGCGAUCUCAACCUAUAAAGGUUCUUGAUUCAGUCGUUAUACCUGCAAAAGACAUCCGGACAGGGUGUCCGGAUGCACCCUCCGAUGGUUUUGUUAGCCAUGGUUAAGAGAGGGAGAUAUAAAUUAGUUGGCCUUUUUCUAGGUAUCAGGUGAUUACCUUCUUCUUCGUGCGAAGGUUCAUAUAUAGUGCCAGGAGUACUGUUCCUCUCAUUAAUGGUGAGGAGAUAUUUUAUGUUUUGUCAUGAUGACAUUCGGAGGCAGCAUGGUCAUCGCCACCCUACUGGCGGCUGUCAGAAACCGUGGUAGGUGAUGCUGCUGUUAGAGAUCGUGAGAAGUGAUCAUGUAGAACAAUCGUGGGAAGUGACUUGUUGUCACCUCAACUUGUCUUUUCACUCUGCAGGUGAUGGGACGUGGGUCAUGGCUGGUUGUUGCGAUAGCGUGUGAGACUUGCUUUACUUUAGUCAAUGAUCCGGACAACCAUAUCCGGAUAGCCCAUGUUGGUAUCCGGAUGAAUUGUGGAGCGGACGCAUUAAUGGAAGCCGUCCGGAUGCCUAUGCUUUGUAAGUGUCGUUUGCCCUCCCUUGAGGCAGUCCGGAUGGGAAAAGCGCGUCACGUGUGCUUUAUAGGAAGAUCCGGAUGAGGGUGACCCGGAUGACAACGUGUGCCAUGUGUCACUGUAAGAUGCGUGCCACGUGUCACGGCAAGAUGCGUGCCACGUGUUCUCAGAGGGUGGGGUCCCUACAAUUAUGUGUAUAAAAAAAUAUGUUAAUUUAAGAUUUUUUUUUGUUGUAUUUUUUAAUAAUUAAAAUAUUUUAUAUAAUUUCAAAACUCGUGGUUAAUAUAAAAAUCAUGGAAGUUUUUUAUUUUUUAUUUUUUAUUUUUUUUUAAGAAACAAUUUUCAAUAUGAUUAAAAUUAUAGAUUCCUCGACACUUUUACAAUUAUCCUUCUUUUAAGAAUUUUUUUUUCUCAAUUUUCUAUAGAAGUUAAAAACCCCUUUCCAGAAUCAAAUCUCAAUAAGCCAUUAUUUUAAUACAUUCUCGUUGGCGAUUUGCCGAUGACACACCAUUAAAACUAAAUAACGAUAUUUGAUUGAAUACUUACAUUUUAUCUCUAAUAUACAUUAUCAAUUUAGAUAUAUAACAUAUUUUAUAUUGUGCUAAUAUUUAAUUUUUUCAAAGACUAAAAAUUGAAGUAAAAAAUAUGUAUUUUAUCGCAGUUUUAAUAUUUUUAAGGAAAAAUAUAUUACAAUAAAAGAUAUCAAGUCUCUUUUAUUUUUAAUAUUAAUUAGACAUCUCUUCACAAUUUAUUUCUCAUUUUUUUUUAAAAUUUAAUUUUAAAAAUAAAUUUAUAAUUCAUGUUUUGAUAACCCAUUUUUUACAUUUUUAUUUUUAAAAUUUAUUAACAAAAAUUAAAAGUUAAAGAUGUAGCAUGUGUUUGAUUUCUAUUUUAAAAAAAUAAAAUUAAAAUGCAAAAUUAUCACCCAAGUCACCCUCGACUUAUUCUUAUUUACCAAACCAAUAAUAUAUAUUAUUCCACUUCUAAGAAUAAAAAAUAUGAUCCAUAAAAAAAAUGAUUAUAUUAUUUUUCCCUUUUUAUUUAAUUAACAAACAUAUUUUAAUUUUUAUUUUUUAAAAUAAAAACAAAUUAUAAGCACCAAAUAUAUUUAAUACUUACGAAAAACCAAAAUUAUAAUUGACAAAUCGAGUAUAUUUUUUGUUUUGAAAAAUUGUAGAAAUAGAAGUGUAUCCAAAUGAUACCCUAUCUAUUAAUUCUAUUUAAUUUUAUUAAUUUGUAUUAAAUUUAUGAAAAUUGAAGCUAUCAAUUUAAUAUGACUAUAAUAUAAUAAUUCAAGAAUUUUAGCAAAAAAAGUAAUGUUGUUCAAUUUAGAAGUGGAUGCAUUCCCAAACUUGAAAGAUCAUUAGUACUACCAGUACUUAAAAGUAAAGCAAAAUAUGAGAUUUUGUGAAGAUAUAAUGGUAGAUGAGUGGUAUUUUUGGAUGGAUAUAAGAUUUAAAUGGACAUUAUGUUUGACCCUACCUCAGAUUCUUAGAAUGUAAAUAGUGGGGAAAAAAAGGGUUAAAUUAUGUAAAAUUUAUACCACUUUCCUCAUUUUCAUAGUGGAUGAAAUCACAACCAUAAUUCAUUUGAGAAUAAUUUUAACUAGGUCUUCACAGUGGAUGAAACCUCGAUCAUAAUUCAUUUGAAAGUGAUUUUGGUUAAAAAUAUAUUUAGAGCACGCAUAAUAAUAAUUUUAGGAAAAAAAUAAUUUUAAAAAUAUUUAAAUAAUAAAAAAAAUUAAGUGUUAAAAAUAUUAUAAAUGAAUUCAUAGAAUCAUUGUUGUUGUAGUAUAUGACUCAUAUUUGUUGUGGGCGAACAAUAGGUUGGGGGUGAUUCAGGGAUAUUUUUGGAAUUUUCAUUCCUAAGGGUUAAUAUAAAUACCCUUUUAUGUAAUCCUAAUUUUAACAUAAUGAAAAUCAUCUUUUUCCUUAUUUCCAUGGAUAUAUAGACAAUUUGCCGAACCACGUUAAAUCUCCGUGUUCUUCUUUCUUGUUUUUCUAAUUACUUUUCACCAUAAAUCGUUGUAUGAAUUUCAAUAAUUGGUAUUUGAGUGAGGUUAGGAUCAAUGUCUGGGAUUUCUUCUACGAAGUUCAACGUGGUCAAGUUCGAUGGAUCUGGGAAUUUCGGCCUAUGGCAGAGGAGGAUUAAGGAUCUGUUAGUGUAGCAAGGUAUGGUGAAAGCGUUAUACGAAAAGCAACCAGAAGAAAUAAACGAUAUGAAUUGGAAGGAUUUAGAAGCGAACGCUGCGACAACGAUUAGACUUUGUUUAACUGAUGACGUGAUGUACCAUGUCAUGGAUGAGGAAUCACCAACGACAAUCUGGUUGAAAUUGGAAAGUCGGUAUAUGUCCAAGUCGUUGACAAACAAGUUGUAUCUUAAGCAAAAACUGUAUGGUCUUAAGAUGACAGAGAGUUUAGAUCUAAGCCAACAUAUCAACGUGUUCAAUCAGAUCAUUAAUGAUUUGAAGCGAAUUGAUGUGAAGUUCAAAGACGAAGACAAGACAUUGAUGUUAUUGAAUUCCCUUCCUGCUUCUUCUAUGUAUGAAAAUCUGGUUACAACUCUGAUGUGGGGGAAAGAAACUCUUGAUUUGGAGGAGAUCAUGAGCGUUUUUUUAAGAUUUAAUAAGAGUAAGAAAGCCAAUGAUGAGAGUUCUUAGGGUGAAGGGCUUGUGGCAAAGAGUAAUAAGGAAUGUGGGAGAAAUAAGUUCUAGAGUGAAUCGAGUAAUAAUAAAUCUCGAUCUAAAUCCAGGAAGAGAAAUGACAUACAAUGUUACAAGUGCGGAAAAAAGGGGCACAUGAAAUGAGAUUGUCCAGAGAAAAAGAAAGGGGGCUCAAUAUCAGAAAAUAAAGAGGGUUCAUCAAAGUCUGCCAAUGUAUUGGCAGAAGAAGACUCAAAGAGUGGUGAUGGUGAUAUGCUGUCAGUUUCAUCCAACUCAGAUCAUCUUAGAGAUUCUUGAAUCCUGAACUCAGCAUGCUCUUAUCAUAUGGCACCCAAUAAAUAUUAGUUUAACACAUAUAGGUCGAUAAAUUCUAGUUUUGUUCUGAUGGGUAAUGACGCUUCAUGUAAAGUUGCUGGAAUAGGGAAUAUCAUAAUUAAAAUGUUUGAUGGUGUUGUUAGAACGUUGUGUGAUGUUAGACAUGUACCUGAUUUAAGGAAGAAUCUAAUUUUUUUGGGGACUUUAGACUAUAACGAGUUUAGUUAUAAGUCUACAAGUGGAGUAAUGAAGUUGAGCAAAUGUGCUAUGGCUAUGAUGAAAUGGCAGAAACUAGUAGGAAACAUUUAUAAACUGUUGGGUACCACAAUUGUAGGUGAAGUUGCAACCAUAGAGUUUGAGUCAGACAAUACAGUUUUGUAGCAUAUGCGGUUAGGGCAUAUGGGUGAGCGUGGGAUAAUGGUGCUUCAUAAGAGAAAUCUAUUGAAGGGCAUCAAAACAUGUAAACUUGAUUUCUGCAAAUAUUGUGUUUUUGGAAAACAUAAUAAAGUGCAAUUCAAGACAACCACACAUAAGACAGAGGGGUUUUUUUACUAUGUUCAUACAGACGUCUGGGGACUAGUGAGGGUAGCAUCUUUGGGAGAAAGUAUGUAUUAUGUGAGUUUUAUUGACGAUUACUCAUGAAAGGUUUGGGUGUACUUCAUGCGACACAAGUCAGAAACGUUUGCCAAGUUUAAGUUAUGGAAAGUUGAAGUAGAAUACUAGAUAAGGAGAAAGAUAAAAUGUAUCGAGUCAGAUAAUGGUACUGAGUAUAUGGAUUCAAAGUUCACGGAAUUGUGUGAGCAACAUGGGAUUAAGAGACACUUCACAAUACGUAAGACACAACAACAGAAUGGUGUAAUAGAAAGGAUGAACAGAACAAUAGAUGAAAGAGCUUGAUGUCAUAGAUUGAAUGCAAGCCUUGAAAAGAAAUUUUGGGCAGAAGUAGUCAACAUGGCAUGUUACUUAUCAAUAGGUCACCCAGAGCAGCAUUAGAUGGGAAAGUAGUAGAGUAGGUAUGAACAAGCAAUCCGAUAGAUUACUCUGGUUUGAGACUAUUUGGGUGCCCAACCUCUGUGCACAUUCCUAAUGAGGAGAUAUCAAAGCUUGAUGCGAAGUCUAGAUAGUGUAUCUUUCUGGGGUAUCAAAAAGGGGUGAAAGGCUUCAAGCUCUAGGAUCCAAAGGCAAACAAGGUGGUGAUCAAUAGAGAUGUGGUUUUUGAUGAGAAACCCAUGUUAUAAUAUACUCAGAAAUGAGAGAAAUAGGAACCAAAAAGUUGCAGCAGUAAUGAGAAGCUGAUACAAGUGGAAUUAGAGACUCAUGAUAUAGAGGAUCAUGCUCGGUAUGUAGGGAAGUCUAGUUCAGAAGAUCAACAACAUCACAGUAUAGCCAUGGAUAGACCUAGACGCACUAUUAAGCCACCUAUUAGGAAUGGUUUUGAAGAUUUGGUUUCUUAUGCAUUGAUUACUAGUAGUGGGGAUCCUACUACUUUUCAAAAGGCAAUACACAAUCAAGAGAAAAGUAGAUGGAUGGGUGUUAUGGUGGAGGAGAUUCAGUCUUUGCAUAAGAUCCAUACAUGGGAUUUGGUGGAGCUUCAAAGGGGAAGAGAACAAUAGGAUGCAAAUGGGUGUACAAGAAGAAAGAAGUAGUUUCAGAAAAAAAAGAGUAAAAAGUUCAAAACUCGUUUAGUAGCAAAAGGUUACUCACAGAGGAAAAAGGUUAACUAUGAUGAGAUCUUCUCUCCUGUGGUUAGACACACUUCCAUCAGGAUAGUGUUGGGUUUGGUAGCACAUUUUGACAUGUAGUUGGAGCAAAUGGAUGUAAAGACAACUUUUCUUCAUGGUGAUUUGGAGGAGUUGGUCUAUAUGGUACAACCAGAAGGAUUUAUUCAACCUGGACAAGAACACUUGGUCUGUAAAUUGAGGAAAUCACUUUAUGGGUUGAAGCAGUCUCCAAGGCAGUGGUACAAGCAUUUUGACUCUUACAUGAUCAGGAUUGGCUACAAGAGAUGUGAGUAUGAUUGUUGUGUUUAUGUAAAGAGCCUAGAUGAUGAUUCAUCAUUUAUUUUUCUAUUACUUUAUGUGGAUGACAUGUUAAUUGUUGCAAAGAGUAUGGUUGAGGUCAAUAAACUAAAGUCCUUGUUGAGUAAGGAGUUUGACAUGAAGGACUUAGGUGCAGCCAAGAAGAUUCUUAGAAUGGAGAUUCACAGGGAUAGAGUUUCAGGGAGAUAAUGGUUAUCUCAGUAUAGCUAUGUCAAGAGAGUAUUGGAGAGGUUCAACAUGGAUGAUGAAAAACCAGUAAGUACACAUUUGGCAAAUCAUUUUAGGUUAUCUACUAAUCAAUGUCCAAAGACAGAUGAUGAAGUGAAAGGCAUGUCAAAGGUUUCAUAUGCAAGUGCAGUGUGAUGUUUGAUGUAUGUUAUGGUUUGUACAAGACUAGAUUUGGCGCAUGCUAUUAGUGUGGUGAGCAAGCUUCUAUCAAAUCCGGGAAGAAUGCAUUGGGAUGCAGUCAAGUGGAUUUUUAGAUACUUAAGGGGUACUACAGACUAUGACAUUAUGUUCAACAAACAACAAAGUGAUCCUUCAGUUAGAGGAUAUGUUGAUGCAGACUAUGUAGGAGACUUGGAUGACAGAAGGUCUACCACAAGUUAUGUAUUCACUCUUGGUGGAGGAUCUAUUUGUUGGAAGUCUAUGAUACAGUCUUUAGUUGCACUAUCUACUUCUGAGUCAGGAUAUAUGGUAAUAGCUGAGGCUGCAAAGGAAUCACUAUGGCUUACAAGUUUGGUUAAGGAGUUGGGUAUUCAACAAGGUGGAGUUCAAUUAUAUUGUGACAGUCAGAGUGCUAUUUAUUUAGCAAAGAACUAGGUGUAUCAUGCAAGGACCAAACACAUAGAUGGAAGGUUUCACUAUAUCAGAGAAUUGGUUUCUUCUGGUGAACUGUUACUUGAGAAGGUUCACACCUCUGAGAACGCAGCAGACAUGUUGACAAAGCCUGUUACCACAGAAAAGUUCAAGCAUUGCUUGAACUUGAUUAAUGUCUCCAAUUGCUAAAUGGGAGAUACCCCCGACCUAUUGUCCUAGGUGGAGUUAUAAGCUAUAUUUCUUGUGUCUUAAGGGGGGAGUGAAUAUUCGCUAAAGUGGAGAUUGUUGUAGUAUGUGGCUCAUAUUGGGGCAAAUGAUAGGUUAGGGGUGUGGGGGGGGCAACGCCCCCCGUAGUAUGGUUCAAGGGUAUUUUUAGAAUUUCAUUCCUAAGGUUUAGUAUAAAUACCCUUAUAUAUAACCUUAAUUUGAUACAUAGUGAAAAUCCUAUUCCCUGUUCCCUUGGACAUAAGCAAUUAGCCGAACCACGUUAAAUCUGCAUGUUUUUCUUUCUUGUUUUUCUAAUUACUUUUCACCAUAAAUCGUUGCACGAAUUUCAACAAUUAUUAAACAAACUCUUAGUUAAUACAAUACUUUUGUUAAUAAUUUUUUUUUAUUAUAAAUGGUUUUAAAGAUAAUCAUACUAAUGAUUACAUUUUUGGUUUAAAAAUGAAUAUGUAAAUUAAAGCAAAAUAGAAAUUAAAUGAGAUUGAGUGUGAAAUGUAAACAAAUUAACAAGACCAAGUCAUGUUAUCUUCAACCUUGGAUUCCAUUCCACGAACCCCCUGCUAUUAUUAUUAUUACGGCUUCCAUUAUUAUCAUCGAUUAGUGAAAACAACUGUAGCAAUGAAGAAACUAGAAAAAGAUGGAGGCAUUUAUGAAACAUGAUGUGAAUUUUGAAUGGAAACCAGGUGUUGAUGGGCUUACAAUUUGAGGGAUGUAUCAUGUGGCUGCUUUUUCCAUAUUCAAAUCACCUGCAUGUGCCUCCCACAACCCAUUCAAUAUUCAGACCCCUUUGCCCUGACCACGAAAUUACUUAAUCAUAAUUCAUUAUAUGUGUUUUAAUAUAUAUAUAUAUAUAUAUAUAUAUAUAUAUAUAUAUAUAUAUAUAUAUAUAUAUAUAUAUAUAUAUAUGAAUUAAAAAUAAAAAAUUUAAAUGGUAUUGUCUUUUGUAUGAUAUAUUAGAACUUUUUAGAUGUUUAUAUUAAAAAGAUAAAUUUUUUUUACAAAAUUGAAAUAUUAAAAAAAAUAAAGAUAAUUUUUAAGAUAUAAAGUAAAUAUAAAUUCCAUUAUUACCCUCGAUAAGUGAAGCAACUAUAGCACUGAAGAAAAUAGAGAAGAAGACAUAGACAUAUGAAAUCACACUCAGCGAUUCUAAAUUCCUUGGUUUGCCAUUCCACACCUGCAUUUGACUCCCACAACACAUUAAGUUUCGGUCUUCUUUGACUGCUAAAUUAUUUACAUUCGUCAUUGAUCAUAUGUUAAUAGUCUCAAAGUCUAAAUAAUUAUGAGGUUCAAAUACUUGAGUUGGAUUCCUUACAUGAGAUAUUAUCCAUUGUGGAACCCAUGUCCACUAAGGAUGAGCUUCCAUUGGUGCUAACUUUAAUUGAUGAAAGUAGCUACACAAAUAAAGAAAAUAAAUAAUAAUUUUAACUUAUUAUUUAAUCAAACUUAUUUGUAGUAUUAUGUCUAUAAAAAAUAUAUUAAUUUAGGAUUUUUUUUUGUUGUGUUUUUAAAUUUUUUUAAUAUUAAAAAGUUUUAAAUAAUUUCAAAAUUCAUGUUUGAUAACCUACUAAAACUAAUUAUCUUUAAAUUUGAUAAUAAGAAUAAAAGAUGAAAGUAUAAAAAAAAAAUUUUCAUUUCUAAAUUUUUUAAAAUAAAAAAUCAUCAACCAUAACUUACUUGCAAUUUAUUUAUUUAUUUUUAUCAAACCAACAAGGUUUCAUACUUAUAGAUUGAUGAAAAAAUUCUUCAAAAAUCAUAAGGAAUAAUCAUAACAUAUUUUCUUUAUUUUUAUUUCAUAAUAAUAAAAAAAUAUUUUUAUUCUACAACCAGAAACAAAAUUGGUACUAUAAUGGCAAAUAGUCAUAAAAAUUAGAAAUACAAUUGAAAAAUAAUUUAUUUUUCAGUUUUUAAAAAUAGUAAAAACAAAAUUGUACAUUGUUGACACGUUAAUUAAUCAUUUUAUUUUAUUAAUUUAUGUUAUAUUAUUAAGAUAUAAUUAAUUAUUAAUGUAUAAUUUUAAUAGAGUAGUUAAAAAUUAGAAAUAUUAAUUCUUUUCUCAAUCACCACCAAAUAGAAGUAUUACCAAUUUUGUGUUAAUGGACAAAAAUGAACAUUUCGUGCACUUAUUCCAUCAUUUUGUGUACAGUAAUUAUUUUUAUACUACAGCAAAUAUAGGUGUAGACCCCUUGCUGGCUACCCCGGAAGCAGCAAAGCUGGACUUUUCUCAAUAGUACAGUAAUUUAAAAAAGUUAUGUUUAAAUUAUUGUAGUAGAAGAAAUUAUUACAAAUAUAUGGUAGUUUUUGCCACCUAGGAGAGAGGAGAGAGGGUGAACGGAUAAAUUUUUUUAAAACCAAAAUCAUCUUUUCAAAUUUCAAAAAGCGAAAUCGUCUUUUCAAAGAAGGGAACUCAUCUCUUCAAGAGACGAGUUCCAUGAAAAAAAAUAUAAAAAAAUUCCUCAUUUAUUAAAAAAACUCCUUAAAGGAACUCGUCUAUUCAAGAGACGAGUUCCAUGAAAAAUAUAUAUAUAUAUUUUUUAUAAAAAAAAUUCCCAAAUUAAAAAAAAUAAAUAAAUAACAAUUCCUCAAGGGAACUCGUCUCUUGAAGAGAGAAGUUCUCAUGGAAAAUUUUUUUUCCAAAUUAAAAAAAAAAAAAAUCCUAAAAAAAAAACAAUUCCAAGGGAACUCGUCUCUUCAAGAGACGAGUUCCCAUGGAAUAUAUAUAUAUAUAUAUAUAUAUAUAUAUAUAUAUAUUUUAAAAUUCCCAAAUUAAAAAAAAAAAAAAAAAACAAUUCCUCAAUGUGAAGAGACGAGUUCCCAUAAAAAAAAUAUAUAUAUUUUUUUUAAAUUCCCAAAUUAUUAUAAAAAAAACAACUCCUCAAGGGAACUCGUCUCUUGAAGAGACGAGUUCCAUGAAAAAUAUAUAUAUUUUUAAAAAAAUUCCCAAAUUAAUAAUAAUAAUAAUAAAUAAAUAAAAAAAAGCAAGAGAACUCGUCUCUUAAAGAGACGAGUUCCCAUGGGAAAAAAAAUUCCCAAAUUAAAAAAAAAAUCCCAAAUUAAGGAAAAAAAAAAAAAAGAAAGCAAUUCCUCAAGGGAACUCGUAUCUUCAAGAGACGAGUUCUCAUGGAAAAAAAUGUAUAUUUUUUUUUUUAAAUUCCCAAAUUAAAAAUAAUAAUAAUAAUAAAGGAAUUUCCUCAAGGGAACUCGUCUCUUCAAGAGACGAGUUCCAUGAAAAAUAUAUAUAUAUAUAUAUAUAUAUUUAAAAAUUCCCAAAUUAAAAAAAAAAUUCGUUUCUUCAAAAAAAUUCCCAAAUUAUUUUUUUUAUGAUUUGGGAUUUAAAAAAAAAUUUAAAAAUAUUAAUUUUUUUAAGGAGACUAUUUCCCCUUUGAAUUUUUUUUUAUUUUAUAAUUUGGGAUUUUUUAAAAAAAAAUAUUAAUUUUUUUUAAUGGAAACUAGUCUUUUCAAGAGACGAUUUCCCUUUUGGAUUUUCUUUUUUACAUUUGGGAUUUUAAAAAAAAAUAUAUAUUAAUUUUUUUUCAUGUGAACUCGUUCCUUCAAUAGACGAGUUACCUUGAUCAAAUUUUUUUUUUUAAUUUGGGAAUUUUUUUUAAAAAAAAUAUUUUUUUUCAUGGGAACUCGUCUCUUGAAGAAGAGACGAGUUCCCUUAAGGAAUUGUUUUUUUUUUUUUUAAAUAAUUUGAGAAUUUUUUUUAAAAAAAUAUAUAUAUUUUUUUUCAUGGAACUCGUCUCUUGAAGAGACGAGUUCCCUUGAGGAAUUUUUUUUUUUUUUUUUAAUUUGAGAAUUUUUUUUUCCAUGAGAACUCGUCUCUUGAUAUAUAUAUAUAUAUAUAUAUAUAUAUAUUCAUAGAACUCGUCUCUUCAAGAGACGAGUUUCCUUGAGUAAAUGGGGAAUUUUUUAAAAAAUAUAUAUAUAUUUUUUUCAUUUAAGAGACGAGUUCCAUUUAUUCGAAAAGACGAUUUCGUCUUUUGAAAUUUAAAAAAAUGAUUUUGGUUUUAAAAAAAUUUAUCCGUUCACCCUCUCUUCUCUCUCUUAAAUGGUAAAAACUACCAUAUAUUUAUAAUAACUUCUUCUACUAUAAUAAUUUAAGCAUAACUUUUUUAAAUUACCCUUAUAUUAAGAAAAGUCCCAGCAAAGCCAUCUUCAUUUUGAUUCUUUGGAGAAGUGGGGCAGCUUCUAGAAAGCAUCAUGCAUGAGACACGUGGUUGUGUAGCUGACGAUCACCAUGUGGUGGUUAGGACGGCGACCUGCCGAGAGGAGGAACAGCAAGGCAGGUGCGGGCUUUUCGGGGGGAGCAAAUUUUGGGAGGGAGAAGAUAUCUUUUGGAAAAAGCUACACUAAGGAGAGAUAUUCUAGCAGAGAGAGGGGCGGCAACUGGAGCUGGAGGGGAGUCCCGGCUGCAGGUUUUUUUAUUUAUUUAUUUUGAUCUGUCAAUCGGACCUAGCAGUUAGAGGCAAAGCAUCAACAAACUAUGGUGGAUGAGCGUUUUAUACAACAAAUCCAGGAAGUGUACCUCCUGCCUCAAACUCUAGACUUUCACCUCUUCCUCCUGAACCUGCAGGUUUCAGCUAUGAUGGUGGUGCAACAAUUGAUAUUCCUCUUGACACAGCAGGAUCAAAUUUUCAGGAUUUAAAAAAGGAAAGAGAGGGCAGGUGGAGAUUUUUUGGGAGAGGGGCGUUCCAAAGAGGAGGAGGCUGAGGAGAAGCGGGAAAUCCAUUUUACCACCAUUUUUCUGAUUCCAGGUAUGACUUCAAUCCACUUUGCGCUUCCCGUUAUGAACUGUUCUUUUCUGUUCUCAUUGUUCAUGGUUCAUAACGCUUGAAGACUACAUGCAUUUCUCUGUUCUGGAAUAAAGAUCCAUCGCUGCUUUUGUUUUUUUUUUGGAGAUCAUGUUUCUUUUAUAUUUUCUCUCUUAUAUACAUGCUCAGUUUUUCUUCACCCUCCCCUUUGUUUCUAGUAUUUUUUUUUUUUUUUUUUGUUCUUUUUUUUUUAAAAAAAAGAAGUUGGGUAUCACGUUUGGUCUGGAUGUUUUGAUUGGAGUAAUUCUAAGGGAGCUCAGAUGAUGAGGACGAUGGUCAUUGGUAUAUGAACUGUUAAAUAAAUCUUCACAGCCUCACCUUUCUCUCAUUUUUUCUCUCGUUUUCUCUCCACUCAAACAUCCUUUCCUGUGGUUCUCUUCCUCUCCUUUCUUUAUUUCUUUUAUUUCUUUCUUCUUCUUUCCUUCUCUCUCCGUCUCCAUGGAAAGCCUCUCACCUGCUCAAACACUUCUGCCAACACUAGUAUAAAGUCGACUGCUCAAAAAGGACAAGGCUCUAGCAGCUUCGGGACCUUGCCCUCCAGACCAAACGCCCUCCAUUAGACGUUGCUGAACCUGUGGUUUGCAAGCUAGAAGACGAUCCAAACUUCAAGGUCGACAAAAGUUCGGUGCUGGCCACCAAUGGCGCGGUGGAAAUGGAUGCAUUCAUCAGGAUGGAGACACGCCGAAGCAUAGGGGCUGCUGUAGGCAAGACCGUCGUCGCCGGAGCAACCAACAAGUGCGCCAUUAUCGACGGUGGGAGCACGUGCAGCGGCGGGCGCGUGGUUAAGCCGAAGGGUCCCUACGGCUGCACCUAGCUGGUGCACUCGCCUGCAAAGAAACCAACUGUCAUGAUAGCCUAGAGAUUGCUAGAUCUCUAUACGUUUCUUGAAUGCAAGGAAAGGUGGUAGUGCUACAUGGGAGGUGCCUGUGGCAGCUAAUGGGCUUGAAGGCUUGGGUGAUUUUGCUAGUGGAUUUGGGCUUGUGAUGAAGCCCAAGCCCAAGUGUGAGGAUAAAAAAAAAUAAAAAAUAAAAAGAAAAGGAGGGAGAAGAAAGCCUCAUGUUUUAUUCACAUGUUAAAGCUGGCCCGUUUGGUUGAAACUUUCUAACUCCCGAUGUCCAAGCCCAAUUUACAAAAAUUCAACUUUCAAAUAAUGCUUCAAAAUUUCGGCCUUUAAAAUUAAAUUUUUAGUCCUGAAAAUUUCAAUAUUCGCAUUAAUUUAUUUAAUCAUUAUUAUUAUUUAUUCAUUUUAAAAUUUCAUUUUAAACAAUUCUUUAAAAAUUUCGAUUUUCGAAUUUAAUUUCUUAGUCCAAAAAUUUCAAUAUUCGCAUUAAUUUAUUUAAUUAUUAUUAUUUAUCUAUUUAUUUUAAAAAUCCAUUUUAAACAAUUCUUUAAAAAUUUUGACUUUCAAAUUUAAUUUCUAAUUCCAAAAAUUUCAACAUUCACAUUAAUUUAUUUAAUCAUUAUUAUUUAUUUAUUCAUUUAAAGUUCUAUUUUAAACAAUUCUUUAAAAAUUCAAACUUUUGAAUUUAAUUUCUUAUUCCAAAAUUUUCAAUGUUCACAUUAAUUUACUUAAUCAUUAUUAUCUUAUUUAUUUAUUUAUUUUAAGAUUCCAUUUUAAACAAUUCGUUAAAACUUUUGAUUUCCUAAUCUAAUUUCCAACUCCAAAAAUUCUAACAUUCACAUUAAUUUCUAACCCCAAAAAUUCCAGUAUUUGCAUUAAUUUAUUUAGUCAUUAUUAUUUAUUUAUUUAUUUUAAGAUUCCAUUUUAAACAAUUCGUUAAAACUUCCAAUUUCCUAAUCUAAUUUCCAACUCCAAAAAUUCUAACAUUCACAUUAAUUUAUAAUUCCAAAAAUUCUAAUAUUCGCAUUAAUUUAUUUAGUCAUUAUUAUUUAUUUAUUUAUUUUAAAAAUUCAAUUUUAAACAAUUCUCUAAAACUCUUGAUUUUCGAAUACAAUUUCUAAUUUCUAGGACUCUUUUUUUUUUACAUUUAUUUACUCAAUCAUUAUUAUUUUCGCUGUUGUUACCGUCAUUUUAUUUAUUUGUUUAUUCCAUCUUUAAAUAAUUUUCAAAAUUCUGAUUUUUUUCAAAAUUUAAUUUCUAACAUUCUAGUUCCUAAAUUUAAUUUUCAAAAUCCCAAUAUGCUUCAAAUUUACUUUCUAAAAUUCCACUUUUUAAAUUUAAUUCCCAAUACUCAAAUUUUCAAAUAAUUCUCAAGACUUCAAUUUUCUAAUAAAUUUCAAAAAUCUUGCUUUCUUUCAAGCUAUUUUUAUUCCACUCUGAUUUUCAAGUAACCUUUUAUUCCUCUCGACUUCACAUAAGCAAGAAUGAUAAAUUUUUCAUAAUUCUAAAAUAAUGGAAUUUGUGAGAUUGAUUAAUGUAAAAAUAAAUCAAGUUUUGGUGAGGGGCCCCAUAUACAUGAUUUUAUAAUUGAUUGAUUGAUUGAUUUGAUUAUCAUGCGUGAUUGAUUUAUUCUGUUCCUCAAUAUGCAUAUAACCAUUCUGUGUUCGUUCACUAACCCCAUUUAUGAUAGCACAUUGCGGCCCAUGGUCCAGGUACGUAUUCACUCAUUUUGAUCAUUCCUUAUAGAUAUUCUGAUUCUCAUAUAUGCAUGAUUGAUAUGAGUAUCCAUCGAUUUUCUUGUUGAUUGCCGCGUCAAUUCAUUUUAUUAGUAGAGACCCGACUUUAGGAAUUUAGAGGGGUGUUACGGUUCAUAUCGUACCUUCCCAAUAAGUAACCUGACUCCCGAGCUCGAUUCGAUUUUUCACAGACCACCUUUUUUCCAAAACAAGGAGUCACACUUAGGGUUUUCUUUCUUAUUUUGUUUACCUUUUUAAAAAUAAAACAAAAAUAAGUGGCGAUUCCAAGUCAUUUUUAAUCAAUAAAUUAUUUUUCAAAUAAAAAUCGAGCUCGCCUUCAAGUGGGAAACGCAUGAGUCGAAAUACAGGGUCCACAAUAGGGUUUUGCCAAAAAUUAAGUUGUGAUUAAAAAAAUAGUAUUUGUGGUAAAAAAAAAAAAUUGUUUGUGACAACUUUGUUGCUAUAAAUCUACGUGCAAUUAUUUUUAAGCAUAAAAUUUAAUUUUAUAACCAAAUAAAUAAUUUUUUUCACAAAAAAAAAAAAAAGAAUUGUGACAAAUUACGGUUUUUCAACACAAUAAGAGCAUUCAUAAUUUUAACAAUUGAUUUUCCAAUUCUCAAAUUGUGGAUAAUUGAAACUAGAUUUCAAUUCUUCAUGAAUCUCAAAUUUUAAUAAUUUGUACCAUUUAAUAAUUGAGCUGAUUGUGAUGUUGGCAUUGCAUGAACUUCAUGGUUUAGGGAUUCAUAUUCUUAAUAAAAUAUCUCAUUUUUAUAAUAUAUUUUUAUUAUAAAAUUGAGUAAAUAAAAUAAAAAAUGAUUAAAAAUGUGAUAAAAUUAAAAAUAUAAACAUAAAAUAUUUAUUUUCAUUAUCAAUUUAUCAAGUUUUUAAAAAUAUUUCCCUAUUUUCCUCUUUUCUUGAUCAGAAUGCGACUCUUUCUAUAUCUAAUUGAUUUCUUAAGAAGAUUAAACAAAUGUGAAAUAUAGCUAGUGGUAAAAAAUACAAGCUCAUUAAUAGUCAAAACAUUAAAAUUUAAAAGUAAAAUUAUUUUAUAGUCUCCGGUUUAAAUAUAUCAUUUGUUUGUACACAUCUUUUUAAUAUCUUUAGUUUUUUUUCUCAUAAUCUAUUAUCUUAAUUUGAGUUCUUUGGUUAACUUCUUUCUUUUAUUAUUUUUUAAUUUAAUUUUUUAAUAUUAAUGUUUUUAUUGGUUUUCUUUCAAUGUUAAUCAAUUUAAAAAGUUGUACUUUAUGAAAUAGUGAUAAUGCGUUAUAUAAAUUAUCCUAGUAAAAGAUUUAAAUUAUAAUCCUAUUAAAUUUUAAUUUGUUUGUAAUAUAAAAAAGAAUCUAAAUAGAGAAAAAGAUGUUGAAGAAAGAAAAGAUAAACAAAAGAUACUAAUUAAUAGAGUGGUGAAUUUUUAUAUUUUCAGGUGAGAAUUUAAUAUUUUGUUUUUAAGUUAUUUAUUUUAAUAUUAAUAUUAAUUUUUAUUUAACAAUAACUAAUAUAAUUUUUAUUUAAUUUUAUAAUGGAAAGAGAUAAGAAGAUGUAUUUUCGUAAGAAAUAUUAGAUGGUUAAAGUAUUUGAGUAUCAAAUUAUUAUGUGUUAUUUCAGGAUUAGGGAAGUCAAUUUUUUGGUUGAAUGACUUUACUUUCAUAAUAAAGUUGUUUUGAACUUGAGUUUUAAAAUAGCAAACAUGAAAGUAGGUUCAUGAAUUUUUCACUCAAUGCAUGCAAAUUAUGGCUUACAAGUAGGAUAUAGUACAUGGUAUCCCUCUAACAUAAUGGUAGUACCAAAUCAUUCCUAAAUUUGAGAACAUGAUUUACAAUGCUAAAGCUCGAUAAUAAUUAUGGUGUCAUCUAAAGCCUAAACCAUUUGAUGAUCAAAUUGACAUCUUGUUAGUCUUAUUUAUUUAUUUAUUUUUCAAGUAGGCUUUUGAUUGCCCUUGAAAGGCUUGGAGGUUGCCUUAAAAUGUUGUCACUGGAUUGCAUAAUUAGAGAUCAUAAUUGAGUAAAUUGCAAGUGAACUUGAUUUUCCUAACAAUCAAUAACCAACCAAACAUAAGUAGAUCAAUUGUUGCACAAUGAACAUACAAGUGAAAAAGUCAUGUUAUCUAAGGUUGAUUAUCCAAGAACAUUCUAACCCAUUAGACUCAUUUUAAAGUGGUGUUUGUUUUUUGGUUGAAUAGAAAAAGUUAAAUAUUUUGGCUUUUUCUAUUCAGCUAAAAGUAACAUGUUAACAUCAUCCAAUAUGGAUAAAAUGAACUUGUUAUCAAUAAGUUUAUUUUAAUUAUAUUAGAUGAUGUCAUCGGGUUACUUUUAGCUGAAUAAAGAAAACCAAAUAUUUUGACUUUUUCUAUUAAGCCAAAAAACAAACACCACAUAAUAAAUGAAGAGAUUUCUACUCUAAUGAUUAUCCUCAUAAGACAUUCUUGAAUAUAUUUGAUUAAACUCAUAUGUCAAGCCAAACUCUGAACAUCCUAUUAAAAUGAUAUUAUGAACAUCCCAUCAAAUGAUAUUAUAAACAUCCUAUCAAAUGAUGUUAUGAAUCCUUUAUUUACUAUUGGAUUUUAUUUAACGAAUUUUCACGGUGUCAUAUUUCACUUUUGAAAGCAAUAUUUCAUAAUUUAAGACAUGAUUAAAAAUUUACUCAAACAAUAUACAUAAAUUUAGCAAAUAACAAAGAUUCCUUUAUCAUAUGUAUUUUAUAAUUUAUGAAAUGUCAAUUCACGCAAUACAAGAAGUCGAAUACUUAUAAAUUAUAACUUUCAUCAUUGUGCAAGACCACACGCUUAACAAACCAUUUUAUUAGGGAUAUAAUAAUUAACAGAACAAAAUGCGUAUGAAAAUCUAGCAUGUGUUUGAAUAAAUAAACUCUAUCAAAUGAAGGAAAUGAUUGAAGGAAACAUCAUUGACAAUUUCUGAAACACCAUUAAUAAUUUCUCCUUCAAGGGCUGCAUCUGUACUUCACCUCAAAUGGAGCAGAACAUAAAGUAAAUCUAGUGUACCUAAAAAAAAAUGAUAAGAACAAAAGAAAAUGAUACCAUUUAAAUAUAAAUAACGUAAAAAUUAGCAAUAGUAUUUAUAGAAUAUAUUAUGAAGAACCAAAACAUAUUCUUACUUCUGGAUAAAAAGAAUGGAUUCCACCUCCAUCCUAUUAAUAUUUAAUAUUUUUUAAAAUUAAAAUUUCUUUAAUCAUGUUUUUCAAUUCCUUUAUAUUUGAUUUAUUAAUUUGUAUAUUAUUUGAAAAAAAAUUUCUUUUAUUAAUUUAAGAAAUUUAUUAUUACAUGUUAAUAGUAAACAUACAAAAUAUUUUUCUUUGUUUGAUAUUCAUCAAAGUUAUACUUAUCAUAAAUUUAUAUUAUAUCAUUUGCAUACUAUACUAAUUUGAAUUAGCAAAGGUUUUUUUCAUUAUAAAAGGUGUAUUAUUUAGUUAAAUUAGAUGAAAAUAAAGGAAGUUAAUUAUUAUGAAUGUAAAAGGAUAGAAUAUUUACAGUUUUUGUUAUCUAUUAAAAAUAAAUCCUAUAAUUUUUUUUAAUGAGGGUGAUUUGACAGUAUUUUGAAAUAAUGAUAGUUAAUCUCUUAUAUGAAAUAUAUUUAAAAUUAAAUUUUAAAUUAAUUUAAUAAUUUGUUAUUAAAAAUUAAUAUAAUCUUCAUACUUUUUUCUUUUUUUUUAUAGAAUAUUUCUAUCAAUAAUUCAAAAAAAAAAAAAAACAGUGUAAGAAGAAAUAAAAAGUAUGGGAAAGAAAUAUAAAAAGUAUGAGAAAAAAACUAACCUUCUUAUAAAAGAGUACUACAUCUUCCGUAGGUCUUCCAUACUACAAUCACUGAUAUGUAGUUCUUGAAGGUUUUGAAUAUUCAUGAGUGUCAUAAGAGAGGAAAUAUGUUUCAUCCUAUCAUUCCCGUCUUCCAUCCAUCUCAGCCUAGGCAACUUCUUCAAUUUCAAGGUUUCUAACUUUGAGAAGAUCUCAACAUUUCCAUCAUUUUCUUGAAGAAUAUUCACAUGCUCUAGGAGUUCACAAUCUUGCACAUCUAUCUCUUUUAAAUUCUGGAAGUUGUGUAUCAAAUGAGUUGGGACAAGAUUGAGUAGACAUGGACAUUCAUACACCCUUAAGAUCUGUAGAUUGGAGAAGGAUUCAAAUGGAAGUUGAUGAUGCCAUAUAUCCUUCAACUUGGGCAGAUAUUUGAGUGUCAACUCCUCUAACUUAGGGAAUGAAACCUAUAACAUGAUACAUGACAUCAUCAAUUGGAAAGUUAUAAUAAAUAUAAAUAUAUUUCUUAAAUAUAAUUCAUCAACUUGAGAUUAUUCGCAUGUUUACUUUAAUUAUAUUUAUAGAAAGAAAUGAAAGGAUAAGGGAUUCUCAUGCUGAUGCCACAAAUUAUUUUUACUCAUAUAAAUAAUUUCUUAUUUUAAAUCAUAAACAUUCUUUUAUUUUUCUCUCAUUAAUAAAUUCUUUUGAAUGUCUUUUUUAAAUUUCCUUUUUCUUUUAAAAAUUUUGAUGAUUUCACUCUUAAAUUUAUUUUGUAUUUAUUCCUAUUAACUUGACUUUUUUUUCUUAUUUAAAGUAAAAUUAUACUUAUAGUUUUUCCUUAUUUAAAUACUCAUUCCUAUUAAUAUUUAAUGUGUUUAAAAUUAAAAUUUCUUUUAACCUUAUUAGUUUUGCAACUCCUUCAUGUUUUAUAUAUUAUUUGUUAUUUUUUUAUAUUAUUUUAAAUGAAAUGUUCAAAUAAUUUUAACAUGGUGGAGUUUGGAAAGUGCAUGUGGGCCCACCCUAGUUUUUCUUUUGACUUAUAUCAAUAUAAAGUGGUGCAAAAAAAAAAAAAAACAAAUGAAAUCAGCUAAUAAGCUUUAACAUACCUUAUGACUGAAAAAUGAGUCUUCUGACCUUGCAUUUGUACUCAAAGAUGUGGAAGAUGUUGUUUCUAACUCGGAACUGAAGUUGAUGAGCUGUGGUAGAUCAUAGAGAAUCAAGGAUCGCAAUUUUGGGAAUAGUUGCAAAUUGGUCCCACCAUGUCCAUCUUCUUGUAUUUCUGAUUCCCUUUUAUAUGCGAUUAUUUGUUGCAUGGCAACACAAUAUUCUAUUGUCAUUUCUUCAAGUUGGGGAAGGCCUCUAGCCGUGGAAAGCAGAAAGAGAAAUUUCAAUUUAGGACAUGAAUACACAUUUAGAGUUUUUAAGUUACCAAAAGAUUCUAUUGGAAUUGGGCCAUGCCAUACUUCUUCCAAGUUUUCCAACUUCAUAAGAAUCAAUGACUCCAAUAGAGGAAAGGCACCAUGUUGCAGAAACCAUUGAUCCUUUGAAUCAAUGAUAUAUUGAAUCUCGGGACUGUUAAAAACUUGAAGAUGCUUCAGUUCACGAAAACUCUCCCUAUCUGAUGGGUAAAGCACAUAUUUAGUACCACUUAAUUUGUAGAACUGUAGUUCUUCACUUCUCUCCAACAACUUGCUCAUUCCAUCCCCCAAAUGUAAGCUUCUAUUGACUUCAUAGAGAUUCAAUGCUCUUUUGGUUCUCAACCCGCCCGAAACACCUAUAAAUAUCCCAUAUCUUGUCAAGUUCUCAAAUAGAAUGUCUUUUGGUAGCAACUUGGCAUUUGGUAUAUCUAUCUCUAAAGUUGUCAAAUGAGACAAAUGAUUUAGCUCGGAUAAGCAAGCAUUGCUUUCACCUUCAACCGCCCAUUGAGUAAAGCUAGAUUUCAUGUACAAACAUUCUAAUCGAGACAAACUUGAUAAGAUAUUUUGUGGAAUUACUUCAAGCUCCUUGCAAUCAUUCAAAUCCAACAGCCUUAGAUUGGUCAAUUGCACCAUUUCAUUAGGCAAUUGUUGGAUUGUAGAACCCAUCAAGCUAAGAACUUCUAGUUUCGUUAGCUUUCCAAUUAGAGCAAUGUCUUCCAACUUGCACCCAUCUAGACGCAAUGUUUGGAGAUUUGUAAGGGAAUCAAGUGAUGAAGGUAGCACUGUAAAACGCAUUUUGGACAAAUCUAAUACUUUGAGUUUUUUCAUUCCUUCGAAAAAUGUGUUCGGGAUAUUCAAGGAAGGAUUGUUGUUAUGCAAUUGGAAAAAUUGAAGGUCCGGACAUACCAACCCUUGAGGAAGCUCAUGCACAGCUUUGCAAUGCAAAGAGAUGAAAGUGUAGCUUUUGGAUUCAUCAGUCUCUGACCAUUCUUCCAAUCCAACAUCUUCUCUGACUACAAAUGGAUGAGGAUCCUUGGAUGCAAUUUCUCUGACAACAUUGCAAACAACAUCGUGCAUCCUCACAAACUUGUCUCUAUCUUCAUGACUGUCGAGUAACAAGCUUGAGGCUUUAAGGAUUUCCACCAAUGCAAGUAGUCUAUUUCUUGCUUGCUCCAAUGAGUCGAUGCGGUCAAACAAAUCCAGACCCAUAGCAUAUGGUAACAAGAGAUCCAAUGAAAUAUUACCAUAGCCCAGCAUCCCACAAAGUAAGAACAAUGACUUAAUGUCAUCACCCUUCAAAUGGGUGUAGCUCCACUCCAGACAUGAGUAAACCUUCUUACCCACUGCUUUAAUGUUUACUGCUGCACAACUCCUGAGUUGUUCCAAGGCAUUCUUCCAUACAGCCACGGUCUCAUCUUUUAAUGCCUUGGCUUGUUACAAUUGCAAUUGGUAGACCCUCACAUUCUUCAACUACUUGAAUGGCUAUGGGUCGCAGUUCAAGAUUCUCCUCCACGGAAUCACCUGCUGUCUUCUUAAAAAGACUCCAAGCUUCUUCUGGUGGUAAAUGUUCCACUGGAAAACAUAUUUGUGCGCCCAUGUUUUUGCAUAAUAGGUCUCCAUCUCUCGAAGCCAACACUAUUUUGCAUUGUGUUUCAUCACCUUUACACGGAAUUCCUACUUUCUCCAAAUCAACUUCCCUCCAAAUAUCAUCCAAGAUAAUAAGGAUCUUCCCUUCUACCAUCAGUUCCUCCUUCAGUUCAUUCGCUUUUUUGGAUUCAUCCUCCUCGCAAAGUGACAAGUCGAACGCGUUCUCAAUUUCUAGUUGAAGUUCCGCAAUUCCUUCUUGACGUUUAUCCGAGUCUCGAGUCCAGGAUACAUCCAUAUAGGCUUGUGUGGUGAACAACCGCUGUUGCUUAGCUUGUUGAGCCACUUGUUUCAACAGUGUUGUUUUGCCCACACCGGCCAUGCCCCAUACUCCAAUCAAGUUGAUAUUGUCGUCUCUUAAGGCAUCCAUAAUUUUGUUCAAAGUGGAGGCUCUUGAUUCAAGGAAUGAAGCCUGUAGCAAAAACACAAUAUAAGGCAUCAAUUGGAAAGUUGUGAUGAUAGGCAUAAACAUGUUUCUUAAAUAUAAUUCAAUUCAAUUCUGAAAUAGUCUUUCGCAUGUUCACUUCUGUUACAUUAGUGAAAGAAAAAGUAAUUAUCAUUCUAAACAAUUUCCCAAAAAACCAAGAACUAUUAUAAUAUUAAUAUCCUUCAAGAAAUACAAUUCAAAUGGGUUUACGAACAAAUAGUAAAUAAAGUAUAAAUAAUGAAAAAAAUUAAUAAAAAAAAUACAAAAUCACAAAACUUACAUCAUUGAUACAAGGAGAAAGCUUUUAACUUUUCUUUUUGAAAAAUGUCACGUUUAUUUUGAUAUUAACAACAAAAUAACACAUAAUUUUAAAAAAAUAAAAAAAGUAAAAGAGAAAAACUAUUCAUGUUAAAAAGGAUGUAUAUGUAUAUGUAUAAUUUUCAUGUAAAAAAUAAUAUUUAGGAUUGUAUUUUUAUAUUUUAAAAAAUAAAUUUUAUUAUUUUAAAAGAAUAAUAAUUACUGUCCUUAUAAGAAAUAAAGUAUGUCUUACUCUUUUGAUUUUUAAAAAUAAAAAAUUACAAAACAUUUCUUUUUGAAAGUUUUGUAAAAUAGAUGUUAACAACAAAAUACCACAUAAAUUUUUUUUUUUCCAAAGAAAAAAAUAGUAAAGGAGAAAAAAAAUCCAAAUUAAAAAAAAAUGUACAUGUGGUAUUUCCACAUACUAUAUACAUAUUGCUAUUUAUUAAUUUUAUAAUAUAUUUUCCACGUCUCCAUGCUCUCCUCUACUAUUCUCUAUAUGUAUUUUGCCAUAGAAUUUUUAAUUUUUUAAGAGGGAAAAUAUAUUCUGUUACUUCAUUUUGAAGAAUUGUUUUAUCUUAACGGAUUAUAUCCAUUAAUUGGAAAAUUGUAAUAGAAUAUUUUGGGGAAACUCCAGUAAAUCAAAGAUUUAAGAAAAAAAAUUAUUUUGUAAAAUUAAAGUACCAUGUAAAUAAAUAAAUUAUUAAUAAUUAAUUAACUUAUUGAUAUUAUUUAUAAUACCUUUAUAUAACAAAUGCAUAUAAUAAAAUUGAAUUAAACAUAUUAGAGCAUGAUAAAUUUAAACAAAAAAUAAAUUCAUUUUAUUCUAAAAAAAUCUUAUUAUCUUGAGACGGUAGGAAUGUACUUAAAAUAAAACAAAAUUAAAAUUUUAGAUCACAAUAAAAGAAAAAAAAAAACAGGAACACACACACACACACACACACACAUAUAUAUAUAUAUAUAUAUAUAUAUAUAUAUAUAUAUAUAUAUAUAUAUAUAUAUAUAUAUAUAUAUAUUUUAGUUUUUCCAUUUGUUAAAUAAAAAGUAAUUUUCAUUAUAAGCAAUUUCCCAAAAAACCAAACAACUAUUAUAAAAUUAAUAUUUUUCAAGAAAUAUAAUUUAAAUACGGCUUUAAACAAAACAUACAAAAUAAAAUAUAAAAUUACAAAACUUACAUAAUUGUUACAAAGAAAAAGUUUAUAACUUUGUUUUUCGAAAAAUAUUACAUUUAUUUUUAUGUUAACAACAAAAUAACACAAUAUUUUUUUUUUAAAAAAAAGAGUAAAGGAGAAAUGAGGUCUAAAUUAAAAAUGAUGUAUAUAUAUAAUUUAUAUGCAAUAAAUAAUAUCUAGGAUUGUAUUUUUAUUUUUUUUAAAUGUUAAAAUAAAGAUAAUAAAGGUAAUUUGAUUGUUACUUUAAAAGAAUGGUAGUUUAAUAUUUUAAAAAAGUGGUGUAAUGAAAAAUAAAAAAUAGGGGAGACAACUAACCUUUUCAUGGGAGAGCACUUCAUUAUUAGUAGAAGUAUUGACACCUCUCCAGUCUUCCAUCCCACAAUCAAUGAUAUGUAGCUCUAUGAGAUUGUGAAAAUUCUUAAACAUUGAAGGAGACAAAACACAUCUCUUGUUGAUAAUCUUAUCCUCAUUGCAUAUAAUAUGUCUUAAUUGAGGUAGUUUUUUUAACUCUAGGAUUUUUAACUUUGUGAGGAUCCCAAAAUCUAUCUCCUUCAAUUUUGGAAGACUUUUUAGAACUAUAGUCUCCAAAUUAGGAGGGAGUGAAACCUACACAAAAAACACAAUAUAACACAUAACACCAUCAAUUGUAAAGUUGUAAUAAACAUAAAAAUAUUAGGUCAAUAUUGAAAAAUAUAUUAUUUUAUCUUUAUUGAAUUAUAUCCAUCAAUUGGAAAAUUGCGAUAAAAUAUUUUGAAGAAAUUCUAGUAACUCAAGGAUUAAAAAUGGCCGAAGCAUAGAGAAUUUAUUGCGCGCAUAAUACCCUUAUAUUUUUUUAUUAGGUUUUUCCCUUAAAACUAAAAAAAGGGACUAUCAGAAUGAAAUUUACAAUGUUUCCUUUUUGUUAUGUUUUUUAUAUUAAUAUUUAAUGUUUUUUAAAUUAAAAAUUCCCUUUUAACUUUAUUCUUGUUUUCAACUCCUUUACAUUUUAUAUUUUAUUCACUAGUUAUUUUUUUAUUUUUUGAAACUAAAUAAUAAAAUUAUUAACUUUGAUGGUUAUUUUAAAUCAAAAUUAAUUAGUCUCCUUAUAUGAAAUAAAAUAUGUUUUAAUUAGUUUUCUUGUAUCAAAUGAAAUAUGUUUUACUCUUUUUUAUUUUCAUCUAACAUCUUAACCCAAUUUUCCCAAAAGUUAUUAAUUUCAACUAUUCUAAAAUUUAAUUAAAAUAUUAUUAUUUGAAUUAAAUUUUCACUAGUUCUCAUUUCUAAUUCAUUGCAAUAUUUCUUUCAAUUAGUACAUAUUUUUUUCCUUUCUAAAUUAAAGUAAUAACUACCAUUUUUCCUUAUUUUUAUAUUAUUUCUAUUAACAUUUAUCCUUUUUCAAUUAAUUUUUCACUUAAAAAUUUUAUUUUUUUUCAACUCAUUUGUAAUUUACUUAUUACUCACAAUUUUUAUUAUUUAAAAUUAAAUUUUAAAUUAAUUUAAUAAAUUUUUUAUUCAAGGUUAAGGUAUUCUUCUCAUAAUUUUUUUUUUAAAACAUAUAUUUUUAUAAUAUAUCUCCCUAAAUAUUUCAAGUAGUAUAAGAAAAAAACAAAAAAAAAAAUAUGGAAAAAAACUAACCUUCAACAAAAGACAUCCAUGUAGUUCCUCUAAUCUUAGAAUUUUUAACUUUGAGAAAUUCCCAACAUCUAUGUCUAUCAACUUGGGAAGACUUUUUAAAACCAAGACCUCCAAAUUAUGAGGGAAUGAAACCUACAUGAGAAACACAAUAUAUAAUACAUGAUAUCUUCAAUUGUAAAAAUGUGAUAAACACAAAAAUAAUAGGUCAAUAUAAUUCAUUCACUCUCAAAUUAAAAUUUAAAAUAAUUUAAUUAAUCUAUUAUUAAAUAUUAAUACCAAAUAUACAAAAUAUUAUUCUUUUUAUGGUAUUCUUCUUGAAAGCCAUACUUAUCAUUACUUAUGCUAUAUCAUUUACAAACCAUACUAAUUUGAUCAUAUAUAUCUAUAUUAUUGACAAACCACACUAAUUUAAUCAUAACAUUAAUUCAAUCAUAAGUAUCCUUAUAUAUUAUUUAUUAUUUUAUCCGUUUUAUCUAAAAUUUUCAUAUUUUUGUGUAUUUUUACCAAUAUUUUCAUAAAUAUGGAUAUUUUUAACAAUAUUUUAAUAAAAGAGAAUCACUAAGCUUUUUAUCUUUGUAAAAAAAAUUUAUUAUUUAGUUCAAUUAGAUUUAAAAAAAAAAUAAAGUUAAUUAUUAAGGAAAAGAGAUAGAAUAUUUCUUAUUAUGUUAUAAUAAAUAAUUGUAAAAAACAAAAUCAAAUAAAUAAACAAAAUGAAGAUUCAUUUUUGUCUUCAUUUUCCUAUCUUUCCUUAUUAAUCAUUUUCAAUUUAUUUAUAAAACUUAUAAAAUAUUACUACAAUUUUAAGAUUUUUUUAAUUCAAACUAGACUUUUUCCAAAUUUCAGUGUAUCUUCAAAUAAAAUAAUUUACUAAAUUCUCUUCUCAUCCUUAUGUUAUCUCCUUUUAACAAACUUAUAAGGUGCAAUUAGAAAGUGCAUGUGGACCUUACCCAGUUUUUCUUUUGAUUUAUUUAUUAAAAAAAAGUAAUAUGAAAAAAAAACUAUGGAAAUUAACUAUUAAUUAAACUUAAACAUACCUGAUAACUGAAAAAUGGCAAUUGGAUAUCAAGAUUGCCUUGGGAACACAUUCCUUGCGAUGUCGUUUCCAAAUUAGAGCCGAAGUAGUCAAAAUUCAUGAGCUCUGGUAGAUUCCUAAGUGCCAAAAAUCGUAAUUUAGGGAGCAGUUGCAAGUCGGUCCCAACAUGAUCAACUUCUUUUAUUUCGAACUCCCCUUCACAUGCGAUUAUUUGUUGCAUGGCAUUGCAAUCAUUUAUUGUCAUUUCUUCUAGUUGGGAAAGGCCUCUAGCUGUGGAAAGUAAGAAGAGAAAUUUCAAUCCAUGACAUUUCUCCACAUAUAAAGUUUUUAAGUUAUCCAAAGACCUUAGGGGAAUUGGGCCACGACAUGCUUCUUCCAAAUUACUCAACUGUAGUUCUUCAGUUUUCUUCAACAACUUUCCAAUUCCAUCCCUCGAAAGUAAGCUUCUAUCAACCCGUUCCAGCUCUAAUGUUUUUGAUGUUUUAUAGGAGUUUUUCCACUUAUCAAUACUGCCUACAGAUAUUGCAUAUCUUGUUAAGUUCUCAAAGAACAUGUCUUCUUUUGGUAGCAACUCGACAGCUGGUACUUCUAUCUCUAUAGUUGUCAAAUGGCGCAAAUGAUUCAGCUCCGAUAAACAAACAUUGCUUUCUCCAUCACUAACUCCUUCAGCUGCCCAUUGAGUAAAGCUGAAUUUCAUGCACAAACAUUCUAAUCGAGACAGGCUUGAUAAGAUAUUUCGUGGAAUUACUUCAAGCUGCUUACAAUCAUUCAAAUCCAACAACCUUAGAUUCGUCAACUGCCCCAUUUCACUAGGAAGUUGUUGGAUAUGGGAACCCACCAUGCUAAGAACUUGUAGUUUCUUUAGCUCUCCAAUUAGAGCUAUGUCUCCCAACUUGCACCUGUCUAGACGUAAUGUUCGAAGAUUUGGAAGGGAAUGAAGCGUUGAAGGUAGUGUUGUGAAAUGCAUUUUAGACAAGGCUAAAACUUUGAGUAGGUUCAUCCCUUCAAAAAAUGUGUUUGGGAUUUUCAAGGAAGGACUGUUGUUCUGCAACAGAAAAAAUUGAAGUUUCGGACAUACCAACCGGUGAGGAAGCUCAUGCACAUCAUUGCAACUUAAAGAGAUGUAUUUGGAUUCAUCAGUCUCUGGCCAUUCUUCCAAUGGAACAUCUUGUCUAACUACAAAUGGAUGAGGAUCCUUGGAUGCAAUAUUUCUGGCAACAUCACGAACAACAUCAUGCAUCCUGACAGACUUGUUAUCAGCAUCCAUGAAAAGCAACCUUGAGGCUUCACCUCCAAAAUGGUAUCUAUGAUCUUCACCGUCCAGUAACAAGCUUGAGGCUUUGAGGGUUCUCACCAAUGCAACUAGUUUAUUUCUUGCUUGCUCCAAUGACUUGAGGUGGUCAAACAAAUCCAAACCCAUAGCAUACUGUAACAAUUGAUGCAUUGAAAUAUCGGCAUAGCUCAACCAACCACAAAGUAAGAACAAUGACUUGACUUCAUCACCCUUCAAAUGGUUGUAACUCCACUCCAGACAUGUGUAUACCUUUUCCUCCACUCCUCUGAUGUUUGUUGGCGCAGAACUCCUCAGUUCGUCCAAGGCAUUCUUCCAUACAGCUACGCUUUCAUCUUUUAAUGCCUUUGCAAUUGUUACAAUUGCAAUUGGUAGACCCCCACAUUCGUUAACUACCUCAAUUGCUAUGGGUCGCAGUUGGUCCCCCUCCACGGAAUCACCUGCUGUCUUCUUAAAUAAAUGCCAAGCUUCUUCUUCUGGUAAAUGUUGAAGUGGAAAACAUUCUUUUGCGCCCAUGUCUUUGUGUAAUAGGUCUUCAUUUCUAGAUGCCAUCACUAUUUUGCAUCCUUUCUGGUCAUCUUUAGAAGGAAUUCCAACUUCCUCCAAACUAACUUCCUUCCAAAUGUCAUCUAAGAUGAUAAGGAUCUUCUCUUUCUGCAGUCUCUGCUUUAGUUCAGCUGCUCUUGUGGAUUCAUCCUUCCCCUUAAAUUCCAAGCCUAACAUGUCUGCAAUUUUUUGUUGAAUAUCCGAAAUUCCUUGUUGAAUUUUUUCUGGUUCUCGAGUCCAAGAUACCUGUAUAUAGACUUCUGUGGUGAACAGCUUCUCUUGCUUAGCUUGUUCAGCUAAUUGUUUCACCAGUGUGGUUUUGCCCACGCCGCCCAUCCCCCAUACCCCAAUCAUCUUCAUCUUAUCAUCUCUUAAUGCAUCCAUAAUUUUGUUCAAAGUCGAGGCUCUUGACUCAAAAGAUUCAUAUUCUUUAAACGUUACACACCGUGGAGGGACACGAUAUGAUACGCCAUCGGGGAAAUUGCGGUUUUCUUGGACUUCAACAAUAACCUGCGCCUUCUUGUCCGCUUCCCUGCUUAGCAGGUACCGUGACUUGAGAUUAGGACACCACCCAUUGAAACAGCUCUUAUUUUCAUCCUUCUUCAAUUCCUCUGCCUCCCCUGUAAUCUCAUCUACCCGAUUGAGCCACUCCUGAACAAUAGGUCUGAUUUGGUCCCCUCGUCUCGUAGCUUCAUCAACAGUUACUAGCACGUCAUCCCUCGCCUUCCCCAGCUUCUGAACUUUGUUGUGGAGUUCAUCAGUAUAGCUCCGAUAGCAAAACAGAUAACUAAGCUGGCGUCCAAUUGGAGCAACCAAGUACUCUGAAACUUUUGCAGCAACGGCAAUAAUGAUCUCUGUCAUUUCGUCUCAGUUGGAUUUGUUUUUUCUUUUUUGUGUGGUGGUUUUGUUGGGAAAACAGAAGGGAAAUGAUGAGAAAACAGAAACAAAUGAAAGCAGGAACAAGAGGAAACUAAAAUAAGAGAGUGGAAGAAAUGGAAGGAGCAGAGUAUUUGUUCCAAGCAGAGAGACGGUCACCACCAAAAUGAAAAGCAGAAUCAGUAGCGAAUAUGAGUGAAGAGAUGGAGAAAGCUCAAGGAAUGCAUGCAAUUUGAUUCAAUGUGACAAAACGAGAACAAAGUCGGUGUUUUGCAAGCAGAUCCUGAUGUGAGGCCGAAUGUGAAGAGUAGAUUACCAAGCUAUGAACACAGAUGUUGGUUUUUUUUUUUUUUUUUUUUGGUGGGGGGGGGGGGGGGAGGGGGGUUUGGUUAUGUUGGAAAACAGAUGGGAACAGAGAAAAUAAGGGGAAAUUAAGAAGAGGGUGGAGCAAAUGAAAAUAAACAAGGAAAUGAAAGGAGCAGAGUUUGGGUGAAGGAAUCAGAGGUGAAUGAGAGCCAAGUUAGGAAUGGAUGAUAGAAUGGGAAAGAGGUAAUGGCUCAAACCCAAUUGGAGUUCAAGUAAUUUGAUUCAAGGAAAGAGAUCUCUGGUGUAAGGCCAAAAGGGCAUGAAAGAAUCAUUAUUGUGGGACCUUAUCUUUAUCUACCUUAAUUUAGUGAUGUUUUGGAGCUGCCUCCAAACAAAAGCAACCCUGCCAUCUACUUUCGGUGCUUUUGAUGCUUCAUUGAUGGAUGAUUUCAAGAUUACUUUAAAUGGUGUAAUCUCUUUUUAAUUUGUUCUUUUUCUUUUUUUAAUUUUAAUAUUUUUCUGUAUAAAAAAAAGGGGGAGGGGAAAGAAUUUUAAUUCAUUGGUAAGAGUUAUGUGAUAACAUACGUAGGGGUCCCGAGCAAAAGAAUUUUAUUUGUGGGAAUCUUUUGAUAACGAAGCAAAUUCAAUUGUGGAAAUUGAUGGAAAAGAUUUAUAAAUUUAAAGUAUGUUUGACAUGUGAUUUAAAAACAGUUUUUUGUUUUUAAAAAUAAAAAAUUGUUUUUAAAAAUUUUUUAAUACUAUUUGGCCACUAUUCUUUGAAAAAAAUUUUUAAAAACAAAAUAAAAUAGAAAAUAAUUCUUAAAGAACAAAUAAGAGUUAUUUUUGUCAGUUUUUAAAAACAAAAGAAAAACAUGGUCAAACAGACCCUUAUAUUUUCACUAAUCUUACAUUAUAUUUCUCGAAAUAUACGUGUAGAAAUUAUAUUUUGUUCACAAUCAUACAUCUCUUGAUUCAAUAAAAUAAAUUUGAUUCUAAAGUUACAUAUAUAUAUAUAUAUAUAUAUAUAGAAGCUAUAUUUGGUUUACAUCACAAAAAACUUGACUUAAAUAAUGAUGGUAAAGAAACAAGUUUUUUCAAGUACGACUCUAAAACACAUGGGUUUUGAUAGAAGUAUAAAUGAGAUAAUGACAAGUUUAGUAUUUUAUUUUAUUUUAAAGUUUGGAGCAAAUUCGAAAAUGAUCUUGUCUCAUCCUAUUUGAUUAUAUAUAAUAAAUAAAAGUCAAAUUAACUUUUUUUUGUUUUCCCUUUUUUCUAACCUAUAUAAAAUUUUAAAAUCAAUUAUUUCUUUUCUAACCUAUAUAAAAUUUUAAAAUCAAUUAUUUCUCAUAAAAAUAAAUUAUAAAAAACAAAAUAUUGAUUUAUUUAUAAAAUGUAUUUAUUUUUAAUCCAAAUAAAUUUAUUCUAGAAAAAAAUAAUUUACAAAAUUACAUUGGGUGGGUAGGGGGAUUUCUCCUACCUUUCCUAACCUGCCCAUUUAGUCAAAUUUCUUAUAUAUAUUGGAAUGGGGUUGAGAUAGGGAUUACCCGUGUAUUCGAAUGAGGUUGACAAUCAUGAAAAGAAAAGAAAAAACAAAAAAUCUCAUAUAUUAUUCAAAACUUGCAUGUCUACAUAUUUUCUUCAAAUGAUAUAAAACUUUAUUCAAUAAAAUGCUUUAUUCCAACUGUCAUAUAUAAAAAUUAAAGUAGGUUUGCAAUUCCAAGAACUUUAUUCCAAAAAAGAAAAAAAAAUCCUUUAUAUUAUUCCAAACUUACAUGUCUAAAAGAACUUUAUUGGAAACUUAAAUGUGUAAAAUAUAUUCUUAGUUUACGUGACAAAGAAGUUGAUUGAAAGAAAUAGAAAUAGAGAAAAAGAAAACCAAAAUAUGUCUCCAACUUGAAGCGUCUGUGAAGAUGCCAUGUAAAAGAAUAACUUUCAUGGGAAUGGCUUCAGCUCAAGUAUAAUGGAAAAGAAAAGAUAUAGCUUUCAUGUUAGGGGUGACUUUGCCUUGAUAUGCUUUGCUUUGGAAUUUGGAUGAUCUUUUGCCUAUUUGUUUCCUCAAAAAUUUAAGGAAAAAUGCAAGAAAAAAUAAUAGAGCAGGAAAAUAGAAAGAAAAAAAAAUAAAAAAAAUAAAAUUCAAAUUAUUUUUAUAUGUUACUUCAACUUCAUUUAAUUUAUUUUAACUUUUUAAUAUAAAAAUUAAAUAAUUUAAAAAUACAUAAGUUUUUAAUUAAUUUUAAUUAUAUUUAAUUUUCUUUAACAUUUUUCAUACGAUAAAAAAGAUAAAAAAAAUCAUUUUUUUUUACAUUUUCUUCUUUUCUUAAUGCUUUUUAAUGAACCAAACAUAACCUUUAUAUAUUGAGUUUAACAAUAUUGAAUAAAAAUGGUACCAAGAAACCAAUUAAGUGUAAUGAGGUUUAAACCUUUUACAUAUGAACUCGAUCUACCUUUUGUUUUUGUUGAUGUGAUAUUUUUUAUGUUAAUAGUUAAAGAAGCAGAAGAGGAUUUAGCAUUUUAGAAAAGGUAAUAAAAUAGAUGAUUAAAACUAUCAAUUAUAUUUAAUCAUAUUAAUGGCACUGGCAAAGGCAGAAAUAAUGGGCAGGGGGCAAAACCAAAAAAAAAAAUUGUUUGAAGGGAGGUGAUGGUCUUCAAGAUGCAAAAUUGGCUCCUUGGUUAAGCCUUUUUUACCUUUAAAUUUGGCAUAGAAAUUUGGUUUUUCGGGAUGGGGGUAGAUGAACUUUAGUGGCUUUUAGUGGCUUAAUGAACUUUUAUUUUUUUUUCAUUUUCCCUUUUUUCUAACCCCAUAUAAAAUUUUACAAAUAAUUACUUCUCAUAAAAAUAAAUUAUAAAAAAUAGAAUAUUGAAUUAUUUAUAAAUUGUAUUCAUUUUAACUCAAUUAAAUUUUUUCUAAAAAAUAAAAUAAUAAUUAAAAAUUACAUUGGGCUGGUAAGAGAAUUUCUCCUACCUACCCUAACCCGUCUAUUCCGUUAAAUUUCUUAUAUAUAUUGGAAUGGAGUUAAGAUAGGGAUGUUCCAUAUAUUGGAAUAAGGUUAAGAUAAUUGGAACACAUGAGGUUGAGAUAAAGAUGACCCAUUUGCUGUUAUACCUGGACUUAGACAAAAGAAAAGUAACUGCUCAUAUAUUAUUCAAAACUUGCUUGUCUAUGCGUUUUUUUCAAAUCAUAUAAAACUUUAUUCAAUGAAAUGCUUUAUUCCAACUGCAAUAUAUAAAAAUUAAAGUAGGUUUGCAAUUCCAAGAACUUGAUUCCAAAAAGCAAAAAAAAAAAAUCCUUUAUAUUAUUCCAAACUUACAUGUCUAAAAGAACUUUAUUGGAAACUUAAAUUUAUAAAAUGCAUUAUUAGUUUAUGUGACAAAAAAAGCUGAUUGAAAGAAAAAGAAAAAAAAAAAGAAAAAAAGAAAACCAGAAUAUUACUCCAACUUGAGCCAUUUGUGAAGAUGCCAUGUCAAAGAAUAACUUUGAUGGGCAUGACUUUAGCUUAAGGAUAAUGGAAAAGAAAAGAUAUGGCUUGCAUGUCAGGGAUGACUUUAAUUUGAUGUGCUUUGCUUUGGAAUUUGGAUAAUAUUUUGCCUAUGUUUUUUUCCUUGAAAAUUCAUGGGAAAAUGCAAGGAAAAGAUAAUAAAGAGGGCAAAUAGAAGAAAAGAAAAUAAAAAAUAUUUAAAAUGAUUAAUAAAUUAUUUUUAUGUGUUACUUCAAAUUCAUUUUACUUAUUUUAACUCUUCAUAAGUUUUUAAUUAAUUUUAAUUAUAUUUGAUUUUUUUUUACAUUUUUCAUAGGAUAAAUGAAUAUGAAAAAAUCAUUUUUCUUAAUAAUAUUUUUUUUUUCUUAAUACUUUUCAUAAACCAAACAUAAUCUUUAUUUAUUAAGUUUAACAAUGCAUAAUAAAAAUGGUACCAAGUAAUGAAAUCAAUAAAGUGUAAUGAGGUUUAAACCUUUUACACAUGAAAUCGAUCUAACUUUUGUUUUUGUUUUUGUUGAUGUGAUAUUUUCAUGUUAAUAGUUAUAGAAGUAGAAGAGAAUUUAGCAUUCGGUGGGGUGGGUGGGGGAAUGUGUCUUCAAAAUGCAAAUUAGCUCCAUGGUUAUGCCUUUUUACCUUUAAAUUUGGAAAUUUAGUUGAAUAUAAACAAUCAUGAUUCAUCAUACAUUGGAUGAAUCAACCCAAAGCACAAAUCAAAGAUCAAGAGUAAAGUCAUGUAUAAGCAAAAAUAGAUAUAUCAUAAAUGUAUAGGCAAAAAAAAAAAAAAAACCCAAAUAAAAUAUUUAAAGUGAUAUAAUGAAGUAAAGAAAUACAUACAUGAAAUGUGCAACAUGCCCUCAACAUAAAUCAAGAUUAAAAGAACUCACAAUUAUAUAUAAAAAGAUGAAUUAUCAAGAAUAGGUAAAACACUCAACAACAUGGCAAAAAUGAAGUAUUCAUAACAUAAAUCAUAAUAAAAUAUUUAAACAUGGUAUUUUAUCAAAAUAAAAUUUGAGCAUCAUCCUCAAUGUGUCUAAAAGGUAACCCAAGUGUUAAAAUAAAUUAAUCAACCCUCAGUUAAUCCAGAUUAAAUCAAAUUUAUCAACGCUCUACAAAACAUUCAGUAUUGGUCAAAACAGGAACACUUACAAAAUAAAUCCUAAAAAAAUAUUUAGAAAUAGAAUUUUAUCAUGAAAAAAAUUGGACAACAUAUUUAACAUGUCUAGAUUACAAUGCAAAAUUAUUUAAUCACAUGUCAAUCAAUACCAGAUUUCGUUGCAUUAGGGACACUACAUAGAACCAUUAACAUUCAAUAAGAACAGAGGAACUUGCAAAAUAAGUCCCAAAAGAAGAUACUUAGAUAUGGAAUUUUGUCAUGAAAAAAAAUAGACAACAUCUUUAAUAUGUUUAAAUUACGACUCAAAAUGCCAAAUUAUUAAAUUAUAUCUCAUUCAAUACCAGAUUUCAUCACAAGCACAUUGGUCAGAAACAAAGCAAAUUUCAAUAGCAUUUCAAAACAAAUUUAUUUAACUAACCUACAAGCAUGGUAAAAUCAAAAGAAAAAACUUUACAAUAUAUUCAACAUGAUUAUUUUAUAAGAAAGUCUUAAUUGAAGGAAUGACUUAUCUUAGUCAUAAAAACAGGUUUCCCAUUGUGAGUGCACUAGUGUAUACGGUUACACAUUGACAGAACCUGUAGUGAAUCAUGAGAUUAAUUAUUGAAUAGUGUAUAUGGUUGCAUGAGCUCUCAACCUUAAGAGAAUAUUAAGCUACUAUUAAGGUCUUCAAUGACUUUGAUAUACAAGUAAGAUUGUAAAGUAAUCAUAUAAUCCCUAUUAAUUAAGUCAUUAUUGAUUAAGGCAAGUGGCAAUAGGUAUUUUUGAAAUAAAUAUCAUGAUAUCUCAUGAGAUUGACACAAUAUAUCUACUUACAUGAUCCUAAGGACUUGUGAUUGUAAAAUUUGUAGCAUCACAGUAGUUCUUUUAGUAGAAUUUGACAUAUGCUCUUAGUAAGCUGAAGUAUGUUAAUUGGUCACAUAAUAAGAAGAUAUCAAACUCAAAAAUGAUAGAUGUAAUUUUAAGAGGUUGAUGGCUUUCAUCUUGUUAGAUUAUAGACAUUAGUUCACAAGGAGCUUACAUGUAGCAAUUAGUAGGUCAUAGACCUAAGAAAUUGAUUAAAGUACAUUUAGUCAACUUAUUUCUUAAUUUAAUUUCAUAGGAUGUUGGAAUACAAUUGACUUUUUGUAAUGGAAUGUUGAGCCAACUUCAAAAUUGGAUUCCAAGAGAGCUAAUAUUUUUCUACGGUCCUAGUAGUCCCUGCUCAAACUCAUGCUCCUUGAUGGUAUGUUGUUUUGAGGGAUAUUUGAGAUUUUACUUAUAUGUAUGUAUAAAGGUGUUUUCAUAAAAGUACAAAAAUUGCACAAGAAUUUAUGAAUUAUUUUUUUAGAUUUGGCUAAUUAAUUAAUUAGAACCUAAGAAGGUUAAUUAAUUUAUUAAGACCUAGUGGAUAAGAUAAAGUAACUCAAGUCUAAGAUGGAUUCAAGUUACUUAAGCUCACAAGGACUAUAUGAACCCUUUUAGGGUUCAAGAUUAGAGACUUUAAUUUAUUAUUGUCUUCCAAAGAGAGAAAGAAAACUCUAACCUUCAUCCCCUAAAGAGAAUUUUUCCCUUCUUUGUUGCCAAGAUUUAUAACAGAGCUAUUGGAUAUAAGAUAUCUAGGCCUUUGAGAUUGUUCUUCAUCAAUGGAAAAAAAAAAUUGGGAAUAUCCAAAUUUGAAGUAUCAUUGUUUACUUGUUUCUCACACUUGAAUAAAGUUUUUAAAAUGCAUAUUAGUUUUUGUUGCACUUAGAAUCUUAAAUGCACGCACCAUUUAACCCGCUAUCUAAUUUAUUAUUGUCUUCUAUAGAGAGAGAAAGAAAACUCCAACCUCCAUCCCUUUAAAGAGAAGUUUUUCCUUCUCCAUUACCAAGAUCCAUGGAAGAGCUAUUGUAUAAAAGAUUUAUAAAUAAGUAACCUAACCCUCGAUGUCGAUCCUGUUUUUCACAGACCACCUUUUCCAAAACAAGGAGUCACACUUAGGGUUUUUCUUCUUAUUUUGUUUACCUUUUUUAAAAUAAAACAAAAAUAAGUAGCGACUCCAAGUCAUUUUCUAAUAAAUAAAAUCAUUUUCAAAAUAAAAAUUGAGCUCGUCAUCGAGUGGAAGCGCAUGAGCCGAAAUGCGGGGUCCACACUGUAUUUUAAAAUAAAUUUAAUUUCUACAUAAAUCAAUUAAAAAUAUAUUUUGAUAUAAUACAAUUUUCAUCAAUCAAUUAAAGAAUUUUUUUAUUUAGAAUUUUAAUUUUAUUAUAUGAAGGAAAUAAAAAUUUUGAUUUGACAGAACACAGAAGACAAACUAUACAAUAAAAUUAUUUAAUAAUAAAAUAUUUAUUUUAUAAAAAAAAAAAUUAAUAUAAAAUAAUAAAAUUAUAAUUUUUUUAUUAGUAUACACCAAAUAAAAGAGGUUUAUGGUGAAAUUUCAAAUAUAUAGGAUUUAGAUGUAUUCAGUCAAAACCUUAUGGGAGGCAAAUGAAAUUAACUCUUACAUAAUAUAUGAAAAUUCCAUUAGAUGAACCACAUUGGUAUUAUAAUUUAUCAUACUUUCAUUGAUUUUAUUUUCAUAAUUGUGAUUAAUUUGCAAUAAAUUUAUGGGGAAAACAAGAAAGCCUUCAAUUCCAUUCUCCAAAAGGGAAAACACUAAACAAAAGGCCAAAAGUUACAUUCACUUUACCAACACAAACCAACCAAGAAAGAUAGAAGAAAUGAACUUGCAACAUGACAACCACAAACCAAGUGUAUUGUUCUCAUUUAUUCUAUUCAAAGCAUCAUGUACACAAACAUCCCCUUCCAAAUGGGCUCAUUAAAAUGGAGGAGGCCCACCAUGUGGCCCACCAGGAGGCCCACCAAAGAUAGGCCCACAGCAGCUCUCUAGGAUGCAGCAACAGCACAGGAAAUAGAAACUGCCAAAUAAAAAUCGUGUCAUAAAUUAAUAAUAACAUGACUGAUCAUUUUUGUUACUGAUAACCCUUCUUUCCUAAGGCAUUGUUUGGUUAGAAUCCCAAAAGCACUUUUUCUCCUUUUUUAGUUUCAAAAAUUAUUUUCAUGUUAAAUGUGAACCCAAACAUUACCCAAAUGAUUCUGGGUUUUGAAGAUAGCUAUAAAACUCAUAGAUCUACCCAAAAAUGAACGAUGGGGAAUUAAUAAAGAAAAAAAAUUAAAAUUAAAUAAAAUGAAAAAAGUCUCCAAAAGAACUCACCAUGUAGACACGGCCCUGCAAAUACCACCGCAAAGAAAAGCAAAGCAGCCACAAGGGCCUCCAGGCCCUCCUGGUCCCGGGGGUCCCCAACCUGGAGGAGGCAUCUUUUUCUCUCACUUUCUCGAGAAAAUGCAAAGCAGGGAGAUGAACUUAGCGUGGUAGAACAACACCAAUGGUAUUCUAUAUAUAUAUAUAGAAUUUUGGAGCGAUGACUAAAGAGAAGAAAACUUAACGAUGGAGUAUUCUUGAAUCUUGAUCUUUCUAGGCCAGUAUUUGACCGGUAAGUAAAGGUGGAGAAACAGUUGGUUGGGAUAAGGAUGACUGGAGGGGGCAGCUGCCUUUCUUCGGCCUACCUUUCAAAGCCACUAGUUGUUUUCAAUUUUGAAAGCUCCAUGUGACUUUCCUUUUAGUUUUUCUCUCUCUCCUCCUCUUCUUUUCUCACUGAGUCCACCAGUAGGGAAUCGACGCCUGGUUUCAAUUUCAAUCCCAUAGAAGAACAAAAGAAAACGUGAAAUAUGGUUUAGAAUUGGAUCUUUGUCUGAAGAGAAAAUUGGAUUUCACAGCUCCCAAUAGAUUGUUUUGCUAAAAUAAAAUGGCUAAAAAUAUGCACUGUUUUUUAAAGCAUUUUUAUAGUCCGUUUACAAAUCAAUUAGAAAAUAAGGGCACGUCUGGUAAUUGUUAUGUUCUCACGUUUGACAAUCAAAAACACCCUUUUUUUUUUUUUGUUAUUAAAAACAAUACAAAAAUGUUUCAAAUAAUAUUUUUUUAAUAAUUUUUAAAUUUUUUUAGAGUUAUUUUAAAAAAUAAUUAUACAAAAAUGUAGAAUAAUUAAAAAUAAAAUACUAUAUAUAAAAAUUAUUUUUAAAACAAAUUUUAAAAAUAUUAAAAACGAAAUUAAAAUCAUUUUAAGUUUCCAAAUAAACUUUUGUUUUACAAAACACUAUAUUAAGAAUUGCUCUCAAAAAUUGUUUUUAAAAGUAUGUCCUAAGUAAACUUUUCAAAAUAUAAAAUCAAUUGAUGUGAUUAUUAAACUAAAAUCAUCAAUAUAUCUUUUAAAAAUUACUUCAUUGUUAGGCAAAACAUCAAAAAAUAAUAAUAAUUUUUGUAUCUAAAUGCUAACUAAUUCUUCAUAAGAAUAUUAUUGAUAAUUUUUUAAUAAUAUUAAAAAUAUUUUUAUCAAAAUUGCUUCCAAUAUUGCUAUGUUUUUAUCACAAAAAUCAAUAAAAUUUAGGGUUAUUUAAUUAAAAGUCAUUAAAAACCUAAUUUUGAUAAUUUAACUUUUCAUCAUUUUUUUGCUAUAUUUUGAUAAAAAUAUCCUCAUUCUUUUCUUUUAAAAAUAACUUUUUUGUUUAAAACCUACAUAUAAAUACUUCAAAUAGUCGAGAGCAUUUAUGUCAAAAAUUAGUUACUCUUCAGUAAGAACAUGGAAGAGGUUUAAUUUAUAAAUAUGAAGAUUAUUUCAUCUUUUUUAACUAAUUAAUCCUAAAAUUUGUUUCAACAACAUACCCAUUUAUGUUUUAUGAUUAAUUUCCCUUAUUAAUUAAUCCAAUAAUACAAAUUAAAUAGAAAAAAAUUGAAAAUCCAAAACUACUUGUAAAAAUAUUAGGUGGCAUUAAGUGAAAAAUGGAUGAGAUUUGGUAUAGAUUUGGAUUUCUUGUCUCUUUUAGCAAAACAAAAACAAAAGGAAAAAAAAUCACAAAAUUAAAGUCAAAUGAUGACAAUUAUAAAUCUCAAUUAUUUAAUACAAAAGCAAGCAUCUUGAUAGUGACAGCCAAAUUAAAAUCAAAUUAAUCUCUAACCCUUAAAGAAUGACUCCACCAUGACUCCAAACUUUGAAGGAAAUAAUUUAUAUAAAGCUACAAGCCAUUAAUAAAAACAAGGCCCAUUGGAAUGGGGGCAAGUGGGGGUGACAAAUGGAUUAAAAAAUGUUGGUGACUUGCAAUUGGAAAUCUUUGCCAUCAAUGGGCCAGCUAGUCUUUUUGCCUUGGCACUUUUGUUAACAGGGUGGCUUCAAUUAUGUCACAAUUCUUAAAUAUUUGAUAAGGGUAACAAUAAUUGGAAGAGAAUGCAUGUGAUACCCCCUUGUAUUUCAGUGUCAGAGCAUGGCCAUGUGUCUAGUUAAUAAGCAUUAUUGUUGGACAAGUGUCAUCUGCUCAUGGUGACUUAUAAUGACUUGGUUGGUGCAAAUUCAUUAUCACCCAACUACCACCUACUCUAAAUAUUUUCUUAAUCUAUUUUCAAAAAUGAAGAAAAUUUAAAAGAAAAUUAUUUUUAAAUUUUUUUUUGAAAAAAAUAAUCUCUCUUGCAAGCACAAUGUUAUAAUAUGCUAUCUAUAAUAACUCACCCUUUUUUCAUAGAGAUUUUAUCCACUCUACAUCUAUUAAAAGGUAAAUAAAUUUCUAAUUUUACCUCAAACACAAAGCAAAAAACAUACUUUAAUAGAAUUCUUUAGAAAAAAAAUAAAUAAAUAACUCCAAAUGGGCAAAUAUGGAUUAAGUAUCCCCUGCUUCAACUAUUACAUAUACUUCAAAUACAUAAACUAGUCUAACUAUCCAUAGUUUUAUCAUAUAUGACAUCUAAUUUCAAAAUAAUUGGAAUACAUAAUCAUUAUUGGAGAUGCUUUAACGUAUUUGCUCUUUAUAUCUCUUGCUUGGAGGUGUCCCCUACAUAGUCUUCAUCCUCUCCCCUUUGCAGGCCUUUUACUUUCUUUUUCCUUUUCUAGGUAUGCUCAAUAUUAUCUCAUCUUUUCUCUUUAUUGGGGUCUAAGCCUUGUGGAUGAGUGAGGUAUUUCAAUUGCUUGUGAUAGAGGUACCUGCUUUUGCCUCAAGUAGGGGUCAUCUACCACUACCUACCCCAAGUCUAUUUACCUCCCAUUAUAAUCUAUGUGGAAGUAAAGAAUCAAAUAAAAAUCUCAAUAAUAUAAUUAAAGGUUACUCUAUCGAUCUUAGGGAAAUCAAAAUAGAAAAGAAUUCAUCUUAGAGUAAAAUCAAUAUUCAUACUUAUACUAAACUCAAUUGUCUUGUAACUUUCAAAUCAAUUCUCCCUCUAAACAAAAUUUUAAGAGGUAAUUAUAUUAUAUUCUAUAUAUAUAUAUAUAUGUAUGUAUGUAUGUAUGUAUUGGCUCAAGUCUUGUGGAUGAGUGAGGCAUUUAAGUUGCUUGUGAUAGAGGUGCUUGCUUUUGCCUCAAGUGAGGUCAUCUUUCUCUAUCAACCCCAAGUCUAUUUACCUCCAAUUAUAAUCUCUACGGAAGUAAAGAAUCAAUAACAAUCUUGACAAUAAAAUUAAAGGUUACUCUAUCGACUUUAAGGAAGUCAAAAUAGAAAAGAAUUCAUCUUAGAGUAAGAUCAAUGUUCAUACUUAUACUAGACUCAACUAUCUUAUAACAUUCAAAUCAAUUCUCCCUCUAAACAAAAUUUUAAGAAGUAAUUAUGUUUUAUAUAUAUAUAUAUAUAUAUAUAUAUAUAUAUAUAUAUAUAUAUAUAUAUUGGCUCAAGUCUUGUGGGUGAGUGAAUGAGUUGUGAUAGAGGUACUUGCUUUUGCCUCAAGUGGGGUCAUCUACCUCUCUACCUACCCUGAGUCUAUUUACCUCCAAUUAUAAUCUUUACGGAAGUAAAGAAUCAAUAACAAUCUCGACAAUAAAAUUAAAAGGUUAUUCUAUCGACUUUGGGGAAGUCAAAAUAUAAAAUAAUUUAUCUUAGAAUAAGAUCAAUGUUCAUACUUAUACUAGACUCAACUGUCUUACAAUGUUUAAAUCGAUUCUCCCUCUAAACAAAAUUUAAAAAAUAAUUAUAUUAUAUAUAUUAAAGGGGCAAUCAACUUCUAAUUUUUAUAGUUAUAAAUAAAUAUAAUUUGCCUCAAGUCUUGUGGAUGAGUGAGGCAUUUCAACUACUUACGUUAGGGUACUUACUUUUGCCUCAAGUAGGGGUCAUCUACCUCUACCUACCCCUAGUCGGUAUACCUCUAAUUAUAAUCUCUAUGGAAGUAAAGAAUCAAUAAAAAUCUCGACAAUAUAAUUAAAGGCUACUCUAUCAACGUUGAGGAAGUCAAAAUAGAAAAAAAUUCAUCUUAGAGCAAAAUCAAUGUUCAUACUUAUACUAGACUCAAUUGUCAAAGGGUAGUUAACUUCUAAUUUUUAUGGUUAAAAAUAAAUACAAAAUUAUAUUUAAAAGAAUCUUAUAAGUAUUGAAAAGUAGAAAAUAAAGAAAUAACAAUUUGGUAUGAAAUACUCUUUUUUUUAAAUGUGUAUGCAAAUGGUAGUAAAGUGUUUUUAGAAGACCAAAAUUUUACUUUUUCUUUUCAAAAGAUGAUUUCAUGGUAUACGAAUUAAUAAUAUACUACCACAUUUACACGUAAUAGAAUUAUGAGAGAAUGUGAUAAUAGUCUUGUUUCGUGAUUCACCUUCAUUUCAAUCUAAUCGAAAUUGGUAUAAUUUAAGAUGAGUCCACCUUGACAAAUUUUUAACUCUAAUUAUCAAACCAAUAUUCUUAAAUUAUGUCAUGUAUUUAAUAAGAGGUCAAACCAAGCCUACUACCAAAGACACCUUGACUAUAUUCUCAACUCUAGCAAAUAUAAAACAUUUAAGUGUUAUGUCAAAAGAUCUGUAGGGGUAGGUGACAUUUGGUAUGAUGAUAAAAUCAAUUGAACGACCACCUCUAGAAACAUGGAAAUAUCCUCUUAAUGAUAUCAUUAAUUGUAUGAAUUAUAAUCUCAUCAUGCAUAAUUAUAAAUAAGCUAUAAAUUCAAUAUUAGCACUAAAUGAAUUCAUUAAAAAUAUAACGAGUGUCAACUUAAUAACUUAAAGUGACUUAAAAACUUAAUUUAAGACAUUCAGUAAAUUAAGUAUAUUUGAUAAAAUAAUUUAAUGGUAUGAUUUAAAGUCAAAAAUAAUUUUAAAUAAUAAGUAAAAAUAAUUAAUUUAUUCUUAAAUCCAUAUAUUCAUUUUUAUCUUUUUAUCCUCAUUUAUCAUAAUUACCUCCACAAUCUUUUCUGCUAUUCCACGACUUUUAUUGUUACUCGAUCUCAUUUAUUCUAAUUAUGAUUUAUGAGGAUAAAUAUGUUAAUUUAAUGAUUUAAAAUUAAUUUUAUUAAAUGACCUUAAAAUUUAAAAGUAAAAAUUAACUAAUAAAUUUUAAAUCAAUAACUUAAAUAUAAUUCAACUUAAAGUCAACUUAAAUUAUUAAAUAAUAAAUAUUAAAUUUACUAAACAUCCUCUAUAUUUAUAACUUUUUCUUUCGUGUAUAGGUAUAUAAUUUUUUUUCUUCUAUAGCGAGGAAGAAACAUUAUAUUUUAUAUUGAUUGGAAAAUGAUAUUUUGAAUUGAUGACUCGUAAUUAAUUUGUACACAAUUAAUUCUACGAUGAUGAUAACAUCCAUUUGACUCUAAUUCUUACAUAUCCAAAAGUAGGGUAAUGUGAUAAUAUAAAUAUAUUGAAUUGAUAGACUCGUAAUCAAAUUGUACUCAACAUGCUAACAUCCAUUUGACUUCUCCAUCCUCAUUCAAAGAUAGCCAAAGCUGAGUGACGUGACGUGAUGGAAACUUAAAUGCUAUGUUUGGUAUUGAAAAAACGAAAUAUAAUAUAAAAAGAAAUUAAUAAAAAAUUUAUAUAUUUUUAAGAAUUAAAAUAUUAUAUUUUUUAAAGACUAUUUUCAAACUCAUAAUACUUUUUUAGGCACUCUCUUUUAAAAAAUUCAAAUCCAAUUUUAAAAUUUAUAAAUUAUUUUUUCAAACGAUAACUUUUUUUAAUUAAAUUUUGUCCGUAAAUUUAAAAAAAUUUCUUGAAUCGUGGUAUUUUAAAAUAGAUUUUUUAAAAAUUAUUAUAUUUUUCUUUUAAUCUCUUGCUUUUUCUUUUAUUCUUUUUUUUCUUUUCCUUAUAUUUUGAUAAUCACUCGUGUGCAAAGAAUAGAAGCUUGGCUUUAAUUUGAUUAGGAUUUUGGUGAAUGCUAGCACAUGGGGAUAUCACUAGACCCCACCAAUCAUGAGUAUGGCAACCAUUGAUCCUACUUAAUUUGCAACUAACCAUUUGAUCUGGUGGACAGGUGAACUAAUCAGAAGGUUGGAUUAUUUUACAAGGAAUCAAAUCAAAGCUAUGAAUUGUAGGGUCAUGAUUCACUUAUUCCAUACACACCAUCUUAUAAUCAUAACAAACAACAAUUUAAAGGAUAAACUGAGAAGUAGAGCUAGCUAUUUCUCCAAGGAGAACUAAUGGAUAAAUGUAGAACACCCUGAUGGCAUACAGAACAGCUGAUUAUGGAGGUGGGCCUCCAGGUCCACCUGGGCCUCCAGGACCACCAAAGCAAUCCUGUAGCAACCAGCAACAGCACAAGAAGUUCAGGCUGCAACCAAAAUCAAGACCAAAAUUAAACUCUGAAAAAGAAAAAUUAAAAGUAAAUAAAUAAAUCUUCAAAUCGCAUUUCCAAACAGCCUCCUAAUGAAAAAGUUGGUCUCCAUCAACCCCACAUUGGUUAGAUUUUACCUUUUAGCAACUAAACGAGAAUUCAAAGAACAAAUGAUUUAAAAUUGGAUCAGUUUUCUGCAUGAAAGAACUUACCAUGAAGAAAUAGCAUCGCAGAAACCGCCAAAGAAACCACCCGGGCCAGGGCCACCGGGGCCAGGACCCCACCCUCCAGGCCCUCCAGGUCCUCCAGGUCCUCCAGGCCCUCCAGGUCCCAUUACUAGCCUCUCUACACCCACAAACCUACGCCAGCGCCGGACUGUGAUAUAAGCUCACAACCUCUGUUGGAAGCUCUGUGGUCGGAUGGCAAUGAGGGAAAGGUUCCGACUCUAUAUAUAGAAGCUUAUAGGAGGCGGAGGAGGGAGGGCGGUGGAGGUGUUAUAUAAGGAAUUUGCUUAGCCGAAGGAUCGAGUCUCGUCUUCACGUGUACCAAAACAAGUUCGCAACUUCCAUUCUAUCAUCCACCCUUUUUCAAAGUUCAAAGUUCAAACCUACCACUCAAUGCUGGGAUAUAUCAUGCACGUGCCUCUUUGUGACAUGUGGUGUGUUCAAAACUUAAAUAUGUUCCUCCAUGUUGGGGUUGCGUUGGUAGAGCCAUGGGAAAAGAGAGUAAAGUUUGAUUCAGGUGGUCAAAUUGAUGGACCAUGGCUGGCAGACUGCCACUUUUUGCUGUAAAGUGGCCAUAUUUAGACAAUGGAUGGGUUCUCCA